UUUUAAGUUUCUUUAGAUCUUGGUUUGAACAUUUUUGUUCUUUCUUUCAGGUUUCUGUUGUGGAGAUGGAUGGGCAAUUCGAUAGACUGGACGAGCUGAUUUACGUGGAGAGCCAUCUGAGCAACCUCUCAACCAAAUUCUACGGUGAAGUGACUCAACAAAUGCUCAAACAUGCUGACUUCCCUGGUAGCAACAACGGAACUGGUCUUUUCCAGACCAUUGUAGGAUUGAAAAUCAGAGAUCUCUAUGAGCAGCUCAUUGCCAACAAAGCCAAUGCUCCUACAGAAGCUGCUAAAGCCUAAAACAAAUAAGCAAAACAGAACGCGUCGAUAAACCCAUUGGUUGUUUCUUCUUCUUUCUUUCUUUAUGCUUUGUUUCCGCGGAUUUUCAUGGAGAAAAGGACGGUGUUGCGAUUACCAAAAAAAAAAAAGGACGGUGUUGCAUGUUUGUUAUUUGUGUGGAGAUAUAAAAAGAAAAGCAUGUAAUGUAGAAAAUUUAUUAGCAGAGCAAUAACAAUUAAGUUAGUACAAUGCUUUUAUCUAUUGAUAAAAGUAGAUUAAAACCGAAAAUCAACCUUUAAGCAAAAGAAUGAAUUAAAGGUUUCUUCCUGUUGAUCAUACUCAUGUAUUUUAGUAUGUAUCUAACAUAGAUACAUAUUGAUUUCGAGUUACAGAAGUGCACUGGUAAAAACUUGCCUUUGAUGCCUUCUGGAUCAGAGAGAAAUCCACAACUGCAUGAAACAUUCAAGGGAAAAAAUAUCUAAAUAUAUUUUCUUCAAAAAGGAAAUACAUCUAAAUAUUUUUAUCACCUUGGCUAUCUGCAAAAGGAGAUAUAUAUUACCAAUAUAUUUUUGAAGAAGAGCCCUUACUAGCUUUUCACAAGAGCUUUACCAAGCCCUUGACCCUGAAACCAAAAAUAAAAGAACAAUUCUUAACAUUAAACACAGUUCCAAAACAGAAACUUCAUUUUUUUUUUGUUAACUGAUAUCUAGGAUCAACAAGAACAUGGACCCUAAAGUGUAGCACUAAAGAAUGAUCCUACGUCGCACCAUUUCAUUUAGCUUCUUCCUCUGCUGUUGAUAAUUAUCGCCUUAUGUGGUCUUCAAUGGAAAGCAUUUGUAAAAACAUAAUAUUACUAAUUAUUCAAUCAACUACUAAACCAUUUAUAGUAGCAUUUAGAAGCUGCAAAAAUGUUCUCCAGAUAAUCUUUAUUCAAUGUUUUUAUAUGAAACUUUUGAUAAAACAUUAUCAUUUAUAUAUAAAAAUUAAAAAUUAUUUUAUAUAAUUUAUUAAUUUUAGUUAAUAAUAUCAAAAAUUAUAUUUAUAUUCAAUUUAUUAAAUUUAUAAUUUUAAAACUAAAAUUUAUAAUUAAUAUUUCUAAUUUUUAACAAUGAAGGCAAAGUGUUGAGAGUGAGAUUGAUAAUGAAAGAAGGUGUUAAGUACUUCAGCCCGGUUUACCUAUUCGAUGAAGGUUCAACCAUCUCGUGGAUCCCUUGUGGUCGCAAACUCACCUGCUCCUACCCUGGCAUCAAGUUCAACUACCAACCUGAUUCCUACUUCGACAAUGAGGUGCAUUCAUUUGUCUCUUUAGGUUACAGAAUGAGUUUUAAGUUUCUUUAGAUCUUGGUUUGAACAUUUUUGUUCUUUCUUUCAGGUUUCUGUUGUGGAGAUGGAUGGGCAAUUCGAUAGACUGGACGAGCUGAUUUACGUGGAGAGCCAUCUGAGCAACCUCUCAACCAAAUUCUACGGUGAAGUGACUCAACAAAUGCUCAAACAUGCUGACUUCCCUGGUAGCAACAACGGAACUGGUCUUUUCCAGACCAUUGUAGGAUUGAAAAUCAGAGAUCUCUAUGAGCAGCUCAUUGCCAACAAAGCCAAUGCUCCUACAGAAGCUGCUAAAGCCUAAAACAAAUAAGCAAAACAGAACGCGUCGAUAAACCCAUUGGUUGUUUCUUCUUCUUUCUUUCUUUAUGCUUUGUUUCCGCGGAUUUUCAUGGAGAAAAGGACGGUGUUGCGAUUACCAAAAAAAAAAAAGGACGGUGUUGCAUGUUUGUUAUUUGUGUGGAGAUAUAAAAAGAAAAGCAUGUAAUGUAGAAAAUUUAUUAGCAGAGCAAUAACAAUUAAGUUAGUACAAUGCUUUUAUCUAUUGAUAAAAGUAGAUUAAAACCGAAAAUCAACCUUUAAGCAAAAGAAUGAAUUAAAGGUUUCUUCCUGUUGAUCAUACUCAUGUAUUUUAGUAUGUAUCUAACAUAGAUACAUAUUGAUUUCGAGUUACAGAAGUGCACUGGUAAAAACUUGCCUUUGAUGCCUUCUGGAUCAGAGAGAAAUCCACAACUGCAUGAAACAUUCAAGGGAAAAAAUAUCUAAAUAUAUUUUCUUCAAAAAGGAAAUACAUCUAAAUAUUUUUAUCACCUUGGCUAUCUGCAAAAGGAGAUAUAUAUUACCAAUAUAUUUUUGAAGAAGAGCCCUUACUAGCUUUUCACAAGAGCUUUACCAAGCCCUUGACCCUGAAACCAAAAAUAAAAGAACAAUUCUUAACAUUAAACACAGUUCCAAAACAGAAACUUCAUUUUUUUUUUGUUAACUGAUAUCUAGGAUCAACAAGAACAUGGACCCUAAAGUGUAGCACUAAAGAAUGAUCCUACGUCGCACCAUUUCAUUUAGCUUCUUCCUCUGCUGUUGAUAAUUAUCGCCUUAUGUGGUCUUCAAUGGAAAGCAUUUGUAAAAACAUAAUAUUACUAAUUAUUCAAUCAACUACUAAACCAUUUAUAGUAGCAUUUAGAAGCUGCAAAAAUGUUCUCCAGAUAAUCUUUAUUCAAUGUUUUUAUAUGAAACUUUUGAUAAAACAUUAUCAUUUAUAUAUAAAAAUUAAAAAUUAUUUUAUAUAAUUUAUUAAUUUUAGUUAAUAAUAUCAAAAAUUAUAUUUAUAUUCAAUUUAUUAAAUUUAUAAUUUUAAAACUAAAAUUUAUAAUUAAUAUUUCUAAUUUUUAAAAGAAUAAUAUUUCAAAUUUAAAAUAAAAUUUACUAUAUAUAACUUUCAAUAACAAAAGAACUAAAAAUUAAAUAUAUAAUAAAUAAUAUUUAUAAAAUAAAAAUUAUAUAUCAUAUAAUUUUAUAUGAUAAUUUUAUAUAUAAACAUUUACUGUUUUUGACUAAAAAUUUUCAAAUUAGAAACAUAAACUAUUACGUGAUAAGACGAAAAGUAUUAGUUUGGUAAAAUUUGCAUGAAAUAAUUUCAUGAAAGACCCAAUCCCAAACCUAUGAAACAAUAAAGGUAGAGAUUAGAAGAGCCAACAAUGCAAUAAAAUAAAAUAUCUACUAAUAAUAACCACGACCACAUCGGCUAUAUUUUCUUCUCCCUCAGACCAUCUUCCAUUCUAUGGCUUGGUAUUUAUAAGAGGUUUUAUCUCCCUCCUACCUCUUGUCAAGCUGAGUGAGCUAGAUUACUCUAUUUCAACUUCAUCCACAACUCCUAAUACUGUGAAGCGAGAAAGACUCUCAAAUAUACUAGCUUGAGGAAUUGUGGUUAACGGAUCAAGGACCAAUGUUUCAUGGACCUCAUUGUUAAUAUUGCUUGAUGGAGAAAAUUCUAUAAUGGAUGAUGUAGCGGGAGAGUGUUAAAUGAGAUGAUCGAACCAACAUGAUUCUCCUCCUGAAAAUGAAAAGAAAAGUAGAUAGUUGUGAACCUUUAUUCACUUGUACCAUGGCUGUUCAUAGUAGCAUCCGAAGGAGCCAAAGGAAGCUGAGGAUCAACCUCCAAAACCGGCUACAAGGCAAGAUUGAUGUUAGAUUCGGAUUGGAGACCUUACAUCUCUUUGGUAUGAUCUUGAGACACAUGGGCAUUAGAUUCAGAAGUGGUAAAGAAGAAGUUUUCAUUGGCCUUUAGAUCCUUUGAAGGGUAGGGUGGUGACGAGGUAGCAUUAUCACUCUGUUGUAAGAUAAGAUCAAUACCUACAACCGGAAUCUCAACACUAAUAGUUUAUGCAUUUGAUGGCAAAGCUGAAUCACGUGGAGGCUUAUGAGGGAGGAAACAUCUCUUUGCUUUAUGGUCUAAGUUACUGUUGGAGGAUGGGCCGCCGGCCCAUUCGCGAGUUGGACACCAAAGGACAAGCCUAGCAAAGGUCCACGUCGAAGGAAGAACAUCUGCGGCGCACGCAAAGAACAGGAGCCUAAGGCGUAUAGCCUGCACCGACUGCCGAUUGUAGACAGAACACCUAAGCAAGCGAUAAGGUAAUUGAUGAGUGCCGAACCAACUACCUGACACACAACCACUACGAAGCGGUUAAGACGCAUCCAAACGGGUAUAAAUAGAGAAGAACAUUGAAUGAAGAAGAGGCAGCAAAAUAGAGAAAGAAAGACUAGAGAGAUAAAGUAGAGAGAAUCCCGAGUUCGUCUUUACGACUACGAGUUCUUCUUUUAUUUUUUCGCUUCGGCUUCUUGUAAACACUUCAUUAAACGAAACUUUUGGCCCCAUUAAUCAUACUUAUAUCUUUGUUUAGUCUAUAAAUCUCUUGUUACUGGAUUUAGGAUUCAACAAUUGGCGCCCACCGUGGGACUGAAAGGUUUCUAACGCACAAAGUCAGCAAAACAAACGAACACUGAAAUGUCCUCCACAUCCGGGGGACCGACCCCAAAAGCCGGCGAACGACAGCCCUCGAGCACAGCAACCGACGGCUCAUCUGAAGUAGGAAAAAGCAGCCAAACAAAUCCGGGAAGCGCUCGCCCUCCGACCAACGCAGCCAUUGACGCUAUGCUAUCAACGGCAAAAAACGCCUCCUCGACGACGCCCUCCACGGCACGCACAAGUCACCCUGUCGAACCAACGGCGAGUGCAGCACCUCCGGCGCAAAUGACCAUUUACCCAAAGGAACCCUCGAACACAGACACAUGGAAUACGCCGAACGCCGACCUAGCAAUGAUGCUGCGAACCUUACUAGAAAAGGUAAACGAUCUCACCCGCGCGAAAAUAGGAGCCGACAAUCAAGGCCCCGAAUCAACCCAGGGUCAGGAGGAGGAGAUAGCCAACUUACGAAGCGCCAAGCGCAUACCCGCAGGAUUAGCAGCACAAAUCCAAAGAGACCUCUUCGGAGAUUCAGACACGCCGAUACAAAGACAAGAAACACCCGCUCCCGACCAAGGCCAAAGCAACCCGGAGGACGCGGACCGAGACAAAGCAAUAAAGGAACUGCAAGCGACCCUGAAAGACAUGAAUUCUCGUGUACAUCAGGCCACGAGUGCGGCACCAGAAAUAGACCGUGUACUAAAAGAAACCCAAAACUCCCGUUCACCUCCAGGAUCUACAAUAAGCCGACACAACACAUAGGAAAAAUAAGAUUCCCGACCUACGACGGAAACUCAGACCCCCGUCAGUACAUGAUCGCUUUCACCAUAGCCAUGGAACGAACCAACUUCACCCCAGACGAGAAAGACGCCGGAUACUGUCAGCUCUUCGUAGAAAAUCUCAGCGGACAGGCCCUCAGCUGGUUCUCAAGGCUCGAAUCCGGUUCGAUCGACAGCUACCAACAACUGUCCACGGCUUUCCUUAAACACUACUCGAUAUAUAUCGAGGACGGAGCAACAGAAGCAUAUCUUUACACUCUGUCCCAGGAACGAACCGAAUCCCUCAGAAGCUUCAUCGGAAGAUUCAAAAAGAUCGUGUCUUGUGUCAAAGUACCGGACAAGAUAGCCACAACGGCCUUGAUCAACGCCCUGUGGUACGAAUCGAAGCUGCGCAAAGACCUCAAGAUAAACAAAACACAAACACUCCAAGAUGCGCUUCACAGGUCAAACUUGUUUAUUGAACUAGACGAAGACAAGCAGGCAAUGGCUAAGAAAUACGCAGCAACAAGGACGGUCGUAACCAAAGAUGAACCGAAAGAAGAAUGCCGCGAGUCACGAAGUCGAUCGGAGACAGAACGAAAGAAAGAAGAAGGUGAUCGAAAGGCCCUGAGCUUCCACGUCAGUGACGUGCAGAGACCACCAAAACAAGCCUGGAACAAAUGGUCCCGAGAGAACGAUUUAACAAGGUACUGCGAAUUUCACAAGAGGAACGGGCAUUCAAUGAUGGAAUGCAGGCACUUGCAAGAAUACGUACUUGGGAAGUAUCAAAGAGGCGAAAUCAAACCCCCAGACGGUGAAAGAACCAGGACCGACGAUAACCGAAGGGAUGACCGCCGUAGAAUGCCGCCAAGAAGAGAGCCGAUCCGCAUGGAGCGUGAGGUCAAAAACGAAAACUGCAUAGAGAUGAAAUCUCCAAAAAGAGAGCGCCCAGAAGAACGGCCAGAAGACAACCUCCCACCUCCACCGCGAAGACGAAUCAACAUCAUCAUGAGAGGAACCCCUCAAGCAGCGAGAAUAGCCGUAACCACCGAAGGAUCAGGCGCGCCCAAGGACGACACCACCUACAACCAAAUCAAACAUCCCCCGGUGAAGUUCAGCAACAGAGAUAGCAUAGGACUAGACUCCCCACACAACGACCCCCUGGUCAUCGCGUUAACCAUUACCGAUUUCGAAGUACCUCGAAUCCUGAUAGACACCGGGAGCUCCGUCGACGUAAUUUUCAAAGAUGCCCUAAGGAAGAUGGGCAUAGACGAAAGCCGCAUAAAACCCGAAAGGAGUCCCUUAGUCAGCUUUGCAGGAGACACCACCAUAUCAGAAGGAACAGUCAAAGUCCCAGUGUACGUGAUGUUAAGAUUUUUCAAGGCUCCUAAGGCAAAUGUUGUAGUAUAGUGUUUGUCGAACCAGUUCUGAGAGAUUUCAAAGCACUGAGAAUGCAAGUACUCACUUAAUCUAAGUGCAACCAAUGAUUUAAAAGGUUUCUAAACUAAUGAUUAAUGAUAAAUGAAAUGACUUUCUUUACUAAGGGAAAAGAGAACUCAUGGGCAUAGGGAUUAGACUUUGGGUGAUCAAGUAUUGAACUAAGGAUGGCAAAUGAUCAAUCAAACUAUCAACCUUAAGCCUAGACACAAUUCUAAGCAAGCUCUAUGUCUUGAUGAAUGCUCAUUUGCUAACAUAUCUCAAACAUCAAAUGUCUUUGGUUGAAUAAUAUGAAAGCAAUCAUUACUAACAAGUCUAUUAGCUAUCUUAGCACCUUUAACAACAAAUGUCUUUGGCAAAGUAUACUAAAAGCCUAGGAGAGUUGUCUCAGGCAUUUCAUCAAACACCUUUUGGGUGGGAAAUGUCUAUUGAUCAACUUUUGAGUGGCCAACUCAGAAGAUGCAUUAUGAAUACUCUACUAGCAAGGAACAAGAAUGAUCUACACUAAAACAUCCUAGAACUAACCUAAUCACCCUUAAUCUCCCUAACCCAUGAAUUCAAAAGGUGAUUACUCACUAAUCUCCAUGAUUCCUCUUAAACCCAUAUUGGAUUUCAGAUUAAUCAUGUAGAGAAAUAGAUAAGAAAUCAACAAGAACACAAGAACAUAACAAUCAAAAUCCAAGAGAUAAACUUCUCAAGAGAGUUUUUGUGUAUUUCUCAAUAGAUCCAAAAGAUAAUCUCCUCCUCCUGGUGUCUUACCGAGUAUUAAAAACAUAGGUUUAGAAAAUAAAAACGUGCAUAAUGAAAUGACCAAAAGGCCCUUGAGAAAACAUGAAUUCGGCCAAACAAAUAGACGUGGAGCGACCUCGGCACGUCGCUGCGAGAGGUCGCUCCCGGGUCGUUUCUUCGCGAGCGACCUGGCUGUGUCGCUCCGAAGACGUCGCUCCCGGGUCGUUCCUCGCGAGCGACCUGGCUGUGUCGCUCUGAACUGGUCGCUGUGGUGAGGUCGCUCUAGGAGCUGGAGCGACUUCGCCUUAUCGCUCUGAACUGGUCGCUCUAGGAGCUGGAGCGACUUCGCCUUGUCGCUCUAUGAGGUCGCUCCGAAGCGUAUAGGGCGAGCGAGUUCAUGGCGUCGCUCCGGUAGGUCGCUCUGGCUGGAGUGACUUGAGAUAGUCGCUCUGGGCUGGUCGCUCCAGGCAGUGCUCGUCCAAAGAUCACUCUAAUCACCUCCUUUGAGCUCCAAAUGCACCCAAGUGUCUCCAGGAACUCCAUGUGGCACUCCAACACCUGAUAGAGACUCAUGUAUGCAGAAUGUAACCUAAACAUGGCUAAAUCCUAGUCUAUAUGAUCAAAAUGCACAUGGAUGAAUGGAUAAGAUAAUGGAAAUAUGCAAGAUAUCAACUCCCCCAAACUUGUUCUUUUACUUGUCCACAAGUGAACUUUCUAGAACUCAUAGGGAGAGAGGUUUGAAGGUGGGAGCUCAUAGCCAAAAGAAACACAACUAGUACUCGAUUCAACAUCUAAUCCAGCAUGAGCACACUCUCUUAUUACACUCUAGCUUCUCUAGGUCUAUCUGAACUCUUUUCAUCCCUACACUCAUCAUCAUGCAUCCACACAUUCAAAUCAACCAACUCUCACAUUCAUUAAGCACAAAACAUCAGGUGAAUUCUUGCAAAUGGUAAGUUGGUCCAAGUCAUUUGGUUGGGUGAGGGAAGGCUUUUAUUCAAGUGAUUCAAGAGGUUCGAAACAUAAAAUCUUUAAGGUGGUUUACUCUCGAAACAAGUAGCCUUGACAUUGCACAUAAUAUAUCUAAGAAAGGGAUCAACUCAUGCAUACAAUGCUCAAUCUCCAUUGUUCUACCCUUUUCCCAAACAUACAAUUACACAAUCAUUCUCAAAUGUCAAACCCAACUCACAUCUCUCACCAAAAGAUCCUAAGAACAUUAACUCCUUCUCUUUGAAAUCUACAAGGGAUUUUUCACAACCUCAAAACAUUACUUAGCUCCUAACAACUUUGCUAGCCCCCUUUUUCUUUCUUUUUCUUUUCUUUUCAUAUUUUAUUUUUUUUUUUUUUUUUUAAAUGGGGGCCAAGACUUUUCAUAACUUGAGCUAGAGGUUUUUCUACUUAUCCCAGUAAGACAAUUCACUUAAACACAAAGAGUCAUUUCUUUUCCUUUUUCAUUGCUCCCAAAUCAUAAUCACAACUCUCACCCCCCACCUAUAGCUAGACAAUAGAGUGCCCAAUCUAGCAAGAAUGAAGAUCAAGCAUUGUCGUUCCCGAUACUCUCAACAUUAUGCACAUGUAAGACUUUCCGAAGAAGGCCUCACUCAUCAAACAAUGAAAGCUUAAAAGGAGGGAAAGGUUUUGGGAGUGGUCUACCACUAGAGUUUGUCAAAAUAAGAUUGGCAUAAAGGAUGUGACAACUCAAGUGUGUAUAGCCAUGACUCAGUACACAAGGGACCAUGAGCAAGAAGCAUUAAGUUCGUUCAGUUCAAAUAAGGUUGUAGUUGGCUUCAAAGACUGAGUUUCAGCAAUCAACAAGUUUCAGGAAGAGUCUUCAAGGCUCGAAGCAUACAAGUGUUUUUGAGAGGUGCAUAAGCUAUUCAGGUGCAAAGUAAUGUUCUUUACAAGGCAUUUCAAAUCAUUGCUCCCAAUGCAAGUAAAUGCAACCUAUAUGCUCUAGACUCUCCUAGAAAUGCCAAUGAUGCAAACUAAAUGAAUUUUUUUUUUUUUUUUUUUUUUAAUGCAAAUAUAUAUGUAUAAUGCAAUGCAUGAGACUCAAAAUCAUCAAAGCAAACGUGAUCAAAUACUUGGUACCUCCCCCAAACUUAAAUGACACAGUCUCUGUGUUGUCAAGGAGAGAGAGAUACCCAAAAAGAGAAAACUAAUAUGCAAAAACGAAAUGGUAUAUACAAGGGAAAGUAGUGGGUUACCUUCUAUGGAGAAUGAGUAGAGGGAGAUGCUCCCUCCUCGUCGUCCUCAGGUGGUAACUCUUCAAGGUGCUCAUCAGCAAGAGUGCCCAUCUCUUCAAUGUAGAAGGCUUGCCCGAACACAGUUGGUUUCUUCAUUUUCUCCUUGAUGUCAAAGUGGAGAACAUGCCCUUUACCCAAAUGGAGAUCAAUCGUGCCCUCUUUCACCUUAACAAUUGCUCCUGCUGUAGCUAAGAAUGGCCUUCCAAGAAUCAAUGGGUCCUGAGCCUCCUCACCCAUCUCAAGCACCACAAAAUCUGUAGGUAUCUCAUACCUUCCAAUCUUCACAGGUAGGUCCUCUAAGAUGCCCACAGGGUACUUCACUGAACGAUCAGCUAACACCAGAGAGAGUCUACACUUCUUGUACUGAGUGAAUCCAAGCUUCUUUGCAACAGACAAAGGCAUCACGCUGACACUAGCUCCCAAAUCGCAGAGACAUUUCUCAAAUACCAUAGGUCCAAGAGCACAAGGUAGUGUGAAGCAUCCUGGAUCCUCUAACUUCUCUGGAACAUCAAGCCUCUGGAUGAUGGCACUGCACUCAUGGGUAAGAAUCAUCAUGCUUUCCAUUUCCUUCUUCUUUGCAGCUACAACAUCUUUCAGGAACUUGUUGUAUUGAGGAAUCAACAUGAAAGCAUCGAUGAUGGGCAUUGCAACCUGAGCUUCACUCAUUUGCUUCUCAAACAAAGCCUUGUACUUCUCUAGCAGCUGCCUCUUGAAUCUACCAGGGAAUGGUAGUUUGGGUUCAUAGGGAGGAGGAACAAAAGAAUUCUCACUUGCUGGAGCAAGAACUUCACCAUCUUUCACUGUUUUCUUCUCUUCCCCAACCUUUCCUUUACCCUUGGCUUCCACAAUCUUCUCCAAGAUUUCAUCAUUGAUUUUCUCAUCAACAAUCACCACUUCAUCAUCUAAGUUUAUGGCCACCUCCUCACCUAGUUUCGCAGCAUCCCUGGUGAGGGUUGUAGGAGGUAACUGCUUACCACUCCUAAGGGUGAUAGCUUUGGCCUCCUUGGGGUUUUGGUCAGAUUUUCCAGGUAGAGAUCCUUGCUGGCGAGUCUGGUGAGUGUUCAUGGAAGCAAACUGAUUCUCUAAAUUCUUGACUGUAGAAGCAAGAUGUGAGAACUUGUUGUUGAGCUCAUUGUAGCUCCCAUCAAUCUUGGAAUGAAGGUUCUUCAACUCAUAACCAACAUGCUUCUCACUUCUAGUCUGAGACUCAAAGAUUUUUUCACUAAGGUAUCAGUGCUGCUCUCUUGAGGAGCAGAGGAACCAGAUGAGGAGUUUUGCUGAGGUUGAUAGCUGCCUUGCGGGUUGUUUCGAGGCGGAUAACCACUCUGUUGGUUGUUGGGAUAGAAUUUCUGUUGGUAGUUGUUGUACUGAAAGUUGGGCUCCUUUUUGUACCAGCUACCAUUGUUGUUAAUGAAACACAACUCCUCUUGACCUUCCAAACCCUCAACCUCAUUGACAGCAGGUGGAUCAUCCUGCUUGGAGUUACCAACAAACUUCAGCUGCUCUUGGGUGGCUUUUUCAGCAAUGAGUAGGUCGAUCUUGUCUUCCAAAGCUUUGAUCUCUUUCCUCGUCUGCUUAUCAUCACCCCUACUGCCUCUGUCGUGGUCUGCACUGUAGACUGCAUCACUCUUCACCAUGUUGUCAACCAGCUCUUCUGCAUCAUCUUCAGUUCUUCCCAAGAAGAACCCAUUGCUAGCUGUAUCCAAUCUGGCUCUGUACUUAGGAAGGACACCUCUGUAGAAGGUACUGAGCAAGCUCUCCUUAGAGAAACCAUGAUGUGGGCAUUUGGUUUGAUAGCCUUUGAAUCUCUCCCAGGCUUCACUGAAUCCUUCCAAGUUCUUCUGUUGGAAACUGGAGAUCUCAUUUCUCAGCUUAGCAGUUCUUGAGGAUGAGAAGAAUUUCUCCAAGAAUGCUCUCUUGCACUCAUCCCAAGUAGUGAUAGAGUCGCUGGGUAGAGACUUCUCCCACUGACGUGCCUUAUCCCCCAAAGAGAAAGGGAAUAACUUCAGCUUUAAGGCAUCCUCUGACACACCAUUGGUUUUUGACAACCCACAGUAGCUGUCGAACCUGUCCAAGUGAUCGAAUGGGUCCUCUAAAGCCAAGCCAUGAUAUUUGUUGUUCUCGAUCACGUUGAGGAGUCCUGACUUGACCUCAAAGUUGUUGGCUGCCACAGCCGGUGCUCGGAUUCCUAGUCUAUGACCAAGAAUGUUGGGCCGGUCAUAAGUACCAAUGGGUCGAGCUGCCCGCGGUUGGUGUUCUGCCCCUUGCGGUGGAUCUGCCAUAUCAAUAUCCAAUCUCUGCAAGUGGGCUUGUUGUUCUUCUUCUCUUCUAGCUCUAGCACACUCCCUCUCGAAAGCUCUGAUGUCUGCUACUAUUGGAACUAGGUUUGAUGGACCCCUGCUCCUCAAGUUCAUACACCUGAAAGUUAAAGGUAGGUGAAGAAGAUGAAUCAGUAACAAAAGAAAAUAAAAAUGACUUAGUCUCAAGUAAGUGACUAAAUCUCAAUGUUCAAUCUACUCAGAAUUUGGCAACGGCGCCAAUUUGAUGUUAAGAGUUUUCAAGGCUCCUAAGGUAAAUGUUGUAGUAUAGUGUUUGUCGAACCAGUUCUGAGGGAUUUCAAAGCACUGAGAAUGCAAGUACUCACUUAAUCUAAGUGCAACCAAUGAUUUAGAUGGUUUCUAAACUAAUGAUUAAUGAUAAAUGAAAUGACUUUCUUUACUAAGGGAAAAGAGAACUCAUGGGCAUAGGGAUUAGACCUUGGGUGAUCAAGUAUCGAACUAAGGAUGGCAAAUGAUCAAUCAAACUAUCAACCUUAAGCCUAGACACAAUUCUAAGCAAGCUCUAUGUCUAGAUGAAUGCUCAUUUGCUAACAUAUCUCAAACAUCAAAUGUCUUUGGUUGAAUAAUAUGAAAGCAAUCAUUACUAACAAGUCUAUUAGCUAUCUUAGCACCUUUAACAACAAAUGUCUUUGGCAAAGUAUACUAAAAGCCUAGGAGAGUUGUCUCAGGCAUUUCAUCAAACACCUUUUGGGUGGGAAAUGCCUAUUGAUCAACUUUUGAGUGGCCAACUCAGAAGAUGCAUUAGGAAUACUCUACUAGCAAGGAACAAGAAUGAUCUACACUAAAACAUCCUAGAACUAACCUAAUCACCCUUAAUCUCCCUAACCCAUGAAUUCAAAAGGUGAUUACUCACUAAUCUCCAUGAUUCCUCUUAAACCCAUAUUGGAUUUCAGAUUAAUCAUGUAGAGAAAUAGAUAAGAAAUCAACAAUAACACAAGAACAUAACAAUCAAAAUCCAAGAGAUGAACUUCUCAAGAGAGUUUUUGUGUAUUUCUCAAUAGAUCAAAAGAUAAUCUCCUCCUGGUGGCUUACAGAGUAUUAAAACAUAGGUUUAGAAAAUAAAAACGUGCAUAAUGAAAUGACCAAAAGGCCCUUGAGAAAACAUGAAUUCGGCCAAACAAAUAAACGUAGAGCGACCUCGGCACGUCGCUGCGAGAGGUCGCUCUCUGGUCGUUUCUUCGCGAGCGACCUGGCUGUGUCGCUCCGAAGACGUCGCUCCCGGGUCGUUCCUCGCGAGCGACCUGGCUGUGUCGCUCUGAACUGGUCGCUCUAGGAGCUGGAGCGACUUCGCCUUGUCGCUCUAGGAGGUCGCUCCGAAGCGUAUAGGGCAAGCGAGUUCAUGGCGUCGCUCCGAUAGGUCGCUCUGGCUGGAGUGACUUGAGAUAGUCACUCUGGGCUGGUCGCUCCAGGCAGUGCUCGUCCAAAGAUCACUCUAAUCACCUCCUUUGAGCUCCAAAUGCACCCAAGUGUCUCCAGGAACUCCAUGUGGUACUCCAAUACCUGAUAGAGAAAUAUGUAUGCAAAAUGCAACCUAGACAUGACUAAAUCCUAAUCUAUAUGAUGAAAAUGCACAUGAAUAAAUGGAUAAACAAUGUGAAUAUGCAAGAUAUCAGUACGUAGGAAACACCCACCGAGCAGUACGAUUUACAAUAAUCGACAAGCCAAACAUCUACAACACAAUCUUCGGAACCCCCUGGAUCAACUCAAUGAAAGCGGUACCGUCAACCUACCACCAAUGCAUCAAGAUCCCGCUACCGGAUGGGGUUUGCACGAUCAAAGGAAGCCAAAGCACAUCCAGAGCGUGCUUCGUGGCAGAACGGAAAACGAGGGAACGAAAGGGGAAACCCGACGACAACGACAAGAAAUUAAAAGAAAAACUUCAACGGCGAAAGAGAGCGUCCGAAAAAGAUACCAAGAUCAAGCACAUCAUAAUCAGAAGAGAAGGCACCACCCCCCAAGACGAAGGAAAACAAACGUCACAAAAAGAAAAGUAAAACGCCGUCCAGAAAACUAAAGAAGAAACGCUGCCAUCGUCGUCAUCACCAUCAUCGCCAACCAAGCACGACCCGAAGAAAACAACCACCGACAUCAACGACUGAAGCAAUUCAAAACCCGAGCUCGCGGAAUAGGCAUCACACAUGGAAACGCUUAGCCCGCGACCUUAAAAAAAAAAAAAUGGACGGAGUUCCAUAUGAACUACGUAUGGCUUGAUCCCCUCGGGGUAUGUAAGCUGCCCACAGAAAAGGGUCCAGCCAUAAUACCAACUAAAGAAGAAACGCUCUCGGCGAAGGGCCUAAAAACCCCGACCCGACAGCGAAGCCGAGGCCAGACUCGCACGGGUCGGUGAUCGGAUAAGCCGUAUCGAGCUUUGCUCAUGCACUUAUCUCGGUCCUACCUUACAGGGGAUAAGCCGGGAUGAGUCCCGCCCUCCGCCCAAAGAAGAAACGCUCUCGGCGAAGGACCUAAAAACCCCGACCCGACAGCAAAGCCGAGGCCAGAUUCGCACGGGUCGGUGAUCGGAUAAGCCGUAUCGAGCUUUGCUCAUGCACUUAUCUUGGUCCUACCUUACAGGGGAUAAGCCGGGCCGAGUCCCGACCUCCGCCUAAAGAAGAAACGCUCUCGGCAAAGGGCCUAAAAACCCCAACCCGACAGCAAAGCCAAGGCCAGACUCGCACGGGUCGGUGAUCGGAUAAGCCAUAUGGAGCUUUGCUCAUGCACUUAUCUCGGUCCUACCUUACAGGGGAUAAGCCGGGCCGAGUCCCGCCCUCCGCCUAAAGAAGAAACGCUCUCGGCGAAGGGCCUAAAAACCCCGACCCGACAGCGAAGCCGAGAUCGAACUCGCACGAAGACAAGACUCACCUCCAGAGCAAACGAAGGACACAACUUCCAAAGCAAGAGAAAAAAUCUCCAACAGUCAAAAGGAAACUCAACCAAACUACGAUUCCAAAAGCAAAGAUAAGAAAUUCCUUCAAACAUUCUUAAAAGUCUUAUACAUACAAAAAAGAGCACAAAGGAGAAACGAACAAUCGAUCACCGAGUCAGCGUCAAAAGAAAAAGACGGAAGAUCGCUUAUCUCCAAGUCAUCCACCUCCAUCUGAUUCAAAGCGGCCGUAUGCACCACCAAAGCCUGCUCGUUCUCGGCCAGCUUUGGCGCAGGUAUAGGAAUCCCCUCCUUGAUGAACAAUUUAAGGCAGCUAACAACCCGUGAAAGCUGAGACUCAAUCAAAAUCUGGGGACGAACUACAUCCCGAUAAGACAAGUACUUCCUCACCUUCUCCACAAACUCACCAAAACGAGCAAGCAUAGCAGACUCAACACGACGCCUCUCCGACUCCGCUAGCUCAGCACGAGACUCCUUCAGAUGCGCUACUUCCGCCUCCAAAACCAACUUCUGAGACAGCAACUUUUUCUCGCGAUAGUCCCGCUCGGUGAUGUCCCCCUUAAGACGACCGACCUCAGCUCUCAAGUCCCGACUCUCGGCUUCAAGUUUGAUCGAGUUCUCCUCCGAAGUUUUCAAAGACAAAAGAGCGGCGGACGAUCUCUCCUUCUCCUCAGCCAAGAGACGACGCUCCUCCUCGAGAUCGUCAGACAGACGCCUGCAUUUCCCUUCGAACAGUCCCACCAGAUGAUUUCCUUUUAUCUUCGACUGCCAAAAAAAAAACAACACAUCAAAAGGAAAAUAAAUAAAACGGCAUAAAAAAGAAGAAGAAGGAAAGAAAGACGAAAUACCUGAGCCUCGCAGGAAGCCCACUCAACAUACUCCUGAACAAAGGACAUAUCCUCUAGAUCCGGCAAAAAAAUCGACGACAAACGAAAACUAUGCAAGUACCAUGCACAAUCCUCAGGCGUAAGCAAAGAAGAAUCAGGAUCUUCGAAAACAAACGUCCUCUUCCUUUUCUUAGAACCUCCAGACGGAGGCCGCUCAGAAGAACUUGCGGCCCCAAGACCUCUGACAAUUAGAGCACCUAAGAGAGAGGGAGCCGCCGGCGGAGAAACCGUCGGAGCAUCAGGAUCGGAGAGACCAACCAUUGAUAGGUGAUCACCACCACCCGUCGUCUCGUCAAGAGAAGAAUGAAUAGCCGCGACGGAAGGGUCAGCAUUAGGAUCGGUAGGAGGGAUAACAACCGGAGCCGGAACCAAGGCUGAAGACGAACCACUCUCUUUCAGACUCGCCGACGGAAGAACAGAAGGCGUCUCGCUCAUAGCCUUAGUAUACACGGGAAUGUCCCUCUUAACUUUCCCCAUUUUCUUACCAGCGGAAGCACCUCCUCUCGUCUUAGAAGGCUCAGCAACAGUUGAAGGACCGGAAGUAACCACCCGAGAAGCUAGAAAACACGAAGGAGAUAAAGAUCAGAAACAAACACAGAGAAGAAGAAAAGAUGUCGCGAUCAUCGAACUUACCGGUAGUAAUACGAGGAAUACUCCGACGAACGCGCUCAACGGUAAAAUCAAUCCAAGCAAUUCUCCCGGGACGAAGAAUAUGAUUCAAGCGAUCGGUCGCCCAUGACGGAAGAAGCCGGAAUUUCCCACGAGGCACUAAAACAAAACAGCGCACAAGAUCAACAAACCAAGCAGCAAAGACAACAAGAAAAGAGGAGAACAAAUAAACUACCAGGCUCGGGAUUCCACUCGGUCCUAAAAACCGCAGAAGAAUCAGCCACAGAAGCAGGACUAACGCGUACAAAGAAAUACUUCCGCUGCCAACCAUCGGCCUUAGACAGUCCCCGGCCCUCCAUAAGGCGACAGCGAGUCUUGAUACUAACGGAUAACGUCUUGCCCGUAAUAAGAUUCAUCUGGUAAAUCAUCUCAAAGAACUCAGCGUCGACAUCAACAUCCACUUCCGCGCCAAGAACCAGGGAAAUCACCAUAUUACGGAUGGUAGACGGGGACAUCUGAGAGAUAGCCACAUCACACUUUGUGGAAUAAGAAGUCAACAGCCGAGGAAGAGGAAACCAUAUCCGCGAUUGAAGAAACUAUUGCCUAUAUAAACAUAUCCAACCCGGCGGCGCCGACCACGGCCUCUUCUCGUUCGAAAGAAGUCGUGUCUCGAUCUCUCGGGAAAAUCCACAUUUCCUCCUCAUAUGCUUCAAGCUAUCCUCGGUAAGAAGAGUAGCCCCCUCGAUCCCCUGAUUCCCUUCGAUCGGCUCGCCAACAGCAUAAUUUUCGCCGCCAGAGUCAUUACCGGAAGAAUCACCGGGGGGAGAAGACAGAAGAUCAACUCCAGAACCAGUCCGGUCGACGGAGUCAGUAACAGGAGAAACCUUCGCUUGAGUAGUGGGAGUCGCCUCCUGAACAGUAGACGAAGCCACCUCCUGAGGGACAAGGACCAUCGUCUGAAGAGAAGAAACCUCUUCCGGAAGAACAGGACCGGAAGCCGGAACAGUAUGAAGGAGAUCCUCGACAUCUGCCAUUUCUUGGGUCCUAACUAACGAUUCAAGACUUUCGUCCAUCACGAAAGAAGAAAUACCGACGGUACGAUUAUAAAAAAGAAAUGAGGGGUAGAAAAUAAAAACGUAGCAGACGAGAAGAAACAACGAAACCAAAGAGUAAGAAGAAGAAGAAUACCUAUUAAAGGAGCAAGCGCAACAGAAUCGGAGCAAACAAAGCAAUAAGUGAAGAGUAGAAGGCAAUAGGGAGAGCAGGGCGUCAGGAUUGCAGGCUUCGACAUCUAUCGAUGUGGCUGAAAGACUCUUGAGUGACCAAUAUCGGCGGUUCACUACAUCGGACCCAUUCCACGAAGAAGAAAGGGCCACUCCGGGCUCGACACGCGUUCAAAACAAACUUAUCUACCCAACUCGCUCAAAACCGCAAUAAUGACGGGGGGGGGGCUAUUGUUGGAGGAUGGGCCGUCGGCCCAUUCGCGAGUUGGACAUCAAAGGACAAGCCCAGCAAAGGCCCACGUCAAAGGAAGAACAUCCGCGGCGCACGCAAAGAACAGGAGCCUAAGGCGUAUAGCCUGCACCGACCGCCGAUUGUAGACAGAACACCUAAGCAAGCGAUAGGGUAAUGAUGAGUGCCGAACCAACUACCUGACACACAACCACUACGAAGCGGUGAAGACGCAUCCAAACGGGUAUAAAUAGAGAAGAGCAUUGAAUGAAGAAGAGGCAGCGAAAUAGAGAAAGAAAGACUAGAGAGAUAAAGUAGAGAGAAUCCCGAGUUCGUCUUUACGACUACAAGUUCUUCUUUUAUUUCUUCGCUUCGGCUUCUUGUAAACACUUCAUUAAACGAAACCUUUGGCCCCAUUAAUCAUACUUAUAUCUUUGUUUAGUCUAUAAAUCCCUUGUUACUGGAUUUAGGAUUCAACAGUUACUACACCUCUCACACGUAGAUGGAACUCACGUAUAGUCAACCUUUUUAUUAUCAUCAAGAGAAAUAAGCUUUAGGAGAAAUUUAUCCACUUUCAUCUCAACUAACACCUUAGCUUCAUCCACAUUGAUAGGAUCAAGACGAAGUUUAUGCGUUAAACUAAGUUCUCCAAGUACUGAAUCAACAUGAUUUAUUCAUAACAUGGAUAAAUUAUUCACCAUUUUACCAAUCACUAUAAUAAGUACGUUAAUAAAAGCAUACAACUUUUGCAGCAUACUUCAAUUUUUUAGAAUAUUGUUACUGUUUUAUCAUCAUUUCUUCCGAUCAAAUAAUUUCCUUAAAAACCCGCAAUGAUAUUCAUCAAAACAUAGUUUUUGCAGUAUAUUUGCUUUUUGUUUUGGAAUGAAGAAAGAGCCACUUAAUCGAAUCACCUAAUGAUGAUGACUUCAAUACAUAAUAUAAUGUAGCCUACCAUAUAACUAUUCUUCAAGGCUGCAGCUAAUUUCGCCAGCAGCCCGUCCAACCUUCAUUUUUGCUUUAGCAUUACUUGGGUUGGGCACAAAUACUUGUUACUUAUUUUAUAUCUGUUACUUGACCUGUACUCGCCUCGAUUUUAUAGAUACUCAUCGGUGUCAAGUCAAAUAUCAAGCCGAUGAGUUUUGCAAGUACAAGAAAAGUAACAAAUAUCACAAAAAGAUACCGACUCAGCUAGAUAUUACUUGUUACUUGUUUUAUGACUGAAAAAUGAUAACUAGACCACAAGAACGAAAGCCUUAUAAAUAUAUUUCUUUGUUGUAAGAAGUAAAGAAUACUUUUAUAUUGAAAUGUUUAUGUAAUUUGUCACUCCUUUUUCUUUAUAAUAGUUACAAAUAUUUUAUUUGAAAUAAUUUCAUAUCUUUUCCAAUAUGUAAAACGACAAACUUUUAUAACCUUUUUUUUUGUCAUCAACAUUACAGACUCAUAUUGACCCUGUAAACCACGCUGGGAGAUGUUGAUCCAUGUGAACGACGAAAGACGUUUGUGUCCUGACACUGCGUGCUAGGUUAUCCGCCUUUGUAUUUUGCGUUCUUGGUACAUGAAUAAUCUCUGAUCGUAUGAAACUCUCUUUCAGACUUUUGAUAUCUUCCAAAUAACUUGCAAAAGCAGGCCAUUCUUCUGGUGCUGAAACCAUCUUCACCAAUUGAGAACAAUCCGUUGCAAACGUAACCUGAAAUUGUCGUAAGUUUCUCAUACAUUCCAUAGCCCAUAGUAGCGCCUCCAUCUCUGCAUGUAAUGGUGUUAGAGUGGCCCGUACAUUCCUUGCUCCCAUCAGUCCCUCAAAUCCUUCUAACGUACUGAACCAACCCUGACCAGAGAAAAUAUCACCCUCUUUCCAUGAUCCAUCUGUAAAACACCAUCGUCCGGGAAUUGACGGAAGAGUCGUAACCUGUAACUUUUAUAACCUUUUCUGAUAGAAUAUUACCUAGCAAGUAAUUCUAAAAAUAUUGGAAAUAUAUCCAAAUAAUUCACAAGUACUUAAGUAGUAAGUAAUCGAAUGAAGCAAAUAACUUGCAAGUAACGUAUUUUUGGACAAGUACUCAUUUUCAACAAGUCAAAUACAAGUCCAAAAUUUUAUUACUCAUUCAAAUAAAACCAAAUAACAAGUAUACACACAGAAAAGCAAGUACUCGAUCUGUCUGCGCUCACCCCUACUGCAUUAUACCUUCUAUUGCAGCUUUUUGGGCUCCUCUCAUCCUCUUUUCCUAUUUACGCUUUUCCUUUUUAAAUAUUUUUGUUAAAUAAAAUGAAAAAUUUGAUUGCUCACUACAUGAAGUAUUGGCCAUCAUAUAGCUAACAUGCAAACAAAAAUAAUGUAUACCUAGCUACGCGAAGUAUAUGUUAUGCAUGAUUACAUCUCUCAACUUAAUGAUGUUAUGUAGUUAACAUCACGAGUUUAAUUUCGUUCAUCUAAAAACUAAUGUAGAUGUUAGAGACCGUUUAAAUAUAUCAUUUUAUCAAAUAAAAUAUGACUAACCCGAUUAUAAUUUAACUGAAUGAUAUUUUAAGCCACGUUUUAAAAGUGUAAGAAUAUUUUUAACAAAAUAUAAUUUCAAAAUAAAUAUGUUUUAACAUUUUUUAUAAGUAGUGUUUUAAUAUUGUUUUUUAAUUAUUUUAAUUUGUUUUCUUAUGAAAUUUUAAUAAAAUUUAUGCAAUUCGUUUGAUUAAUUGUUCGAUAUAUACUUAUUUGAUACAUUUUUUAAUGGAUGCAAUUUUUGUUUAUGAAAAUAUAAAUAAAAUAAUUCAUUAAUUUAAUUAAUUUUAUAUCAAACAAAUAAAAUGUUAGAGUCAGUAAAUUGACAUGAAAUAUUUUUUAUAAUAAAAAAUUUAUCAAAUAAGUAGUAUAUAUUACACAAUUAAUCAAACGAAUUACAGAAAUUUUAUUAAGAGUUAAUAACAAAACAGAUUAAAAUAAUUAAAAACCAAAUUAAAUAAAUCUUAUAUAAAUUUCAUAUUUAGUCAAAUUACUGUUAGGUACAUCAUACUUUAAUUGAUAAAAAUGAGAGAUUUAAACAGUUUCUGACAUCCACAUCAAUUUUUGGAUGAAUGAAAUUAAACUCGUGAUGUUAACUACAUAACAUCAUUAAGUUGAGAGAUAUUGUCAUACAUAAUAUAUAAUUUGUGUAGCUAAGUAUAAAUUAAUUUAGUUUGCAUGGUUAGUCAUAUGCGACCAAUACUUCAUGUAGUCAAUAAUCAUUUUUCCAAAUAAAAUGUAAUUAAAUACCAAGUCAAUUAAACAAGGAACGGAUGAUAUAAUCGUUUGACACUUGGAUCAUAAGUUGACUCCUUGGUUAGGUUUAGUAAAGAAUAAAAAAAAUCUGAUCUUAUGGUGGCUUAAUGGGUGACUCUUUUAGCAAACCUGGGAAGAUUUUGCUUCAAGUCGUGGCUGUUCUGGCCAACAAUAUAGACAUGUAUGUUUUGAUAAUCAACAUGACCCUCAUUAUUUUGGCAGUCAAUUCUAAAAACUGAAGCAAAGCUUUGCUGAUUUGGUUUUAUGACUAUAGACAGUGCUUUUAUUGGUAUAUCAUUACCAUGACUAGUUCUGGGCAUCAUUUUCGGUUUCCAUUCGUUUUUUAGAUUCUAGAGGUUUAGGAUUUGUUCGGUUAUUUAGAAAUUUGGUUUCGAUUUCAGUUCAAUUAUUUUGUUUUUCGGUUCGGGUAAUAAAGUUACGAACCUACUAAUGUCUCUUGUUGUUUCGAUUCGAUUUCGGUUCAGUUCUGAUCAAAAAGAUCAAAAACGUUUUUCGGGUUAAAUAUCAUGUUUUUUGGGGUUUUGGAUAAAAGUUUGGAUAAUUCGAAUAACUUUAACUAUUUCGGAUAAAAUGUAUUCGGGUAGUUUGGGUUUUCAAAUAUUUUGGCUUACCAAUAAUUGCUUUAAAUUAUUUUCUAAGUACAAUAAACUAUACGAUAGAAAUUUGAGUGUCCAUUCGGUUCUCGGUUUGGUUUAAAUUUGGUUUCGAUUUUUUGUUUUAGAGAUAUAGAAUCAACUCGUAUAAUUGAUAGAAUCCAAACUCAAACUCAAUAUCAUUUUUUUGGUUCGAUUCGGUUCUUCAGUUCUGGACAAAUGUGUUUCUGGACAAAUGUGCUCAGACCUAACCAUGACCGAUAUUUGCUAACUUGAGGAAUCUUUUUUAAGUCUUAGUUGGUAUAUUAUUAUUAUUAUUACUAGGGAUUUUCCCGGGCUACGCUCGGGUUCAGACAAAUAUAUUUACUUAUAAUAUAUAAAAUACAUAAAUUAUGGCUAAUUUAUAAAAUAUAUAUUUUAUAUUGAAUUUAAAAUGCUUGAAGCUUAAAUUUAAAGUGGUUGUCUUUUGAUUAUAAUAUAUAUAUGUAUAUUAUUUAUAUAUAUAGGAUGAUGGAGAUGCAGAUCAAUAAAAGUUAAUUAACACUCUAAUCUAAGAACUUAAUUAUCUGACAUAUUUGUUGGAUUCUCAUGAAAAUAUGUUAUUAAUCACUGUUGAUCCAAACUUGUGCAGAGCUUAUAGUUUCAAUGAAAAAAGAAGCAAAUAAUCAAUAGUCACUAUUGAUAUAUAUAUAUAUCUUUGUAAACUUAUGUAUAAUAUUUAAAUAUGUAACUUAUUUGAUCAAAUUGUGUCAUUAAUUUAUAUGCAGAUCAAUUCGGAUGGUCGAAAAUACCUUGAUAACUAGGAGUAAUGACUGGAGUGCAAGAGUGUGGUCUAUCUCCAGUCACCAGAGGAUCAUUCGAUUAUGUUUUAGCAUGCCAUGCAGGGGCAGUACAAUAUGUUGACUACACUCCACAAAGGAAUAAUCAUAAUAUCAGCAACCAGUUCUCAAAAUAUUGUAAAUCAUUGAUUUCGCAAAUAAACAUCAUGGCUUUAAGGUAGUGCAUUGCUGCUGUUUUUUUUUUCUUCUAAAAAUGUCUAUUUUGAAAACUUUAAAAUCAUUAACAAUUAUGUAAACGAACCAAUGAUAUGUUUUAACAUCCUGAUCACAUAUUCUUUUGGUCAAAUUAAUACUUGAUCAGUGAGUUUAAAUUUGAGAACAUGAUUCUAAGGACAAUAAUAGCGAACAAAAUCAAACUUUUUUUUGUCUUUGCGCCACUCGAUGAUUUUCCAUAACUAAACAAUAUUCAGUACCUCUACGUGAAAUAAGCAAAGGAAACAUCUAACUUACACAUCUAGUCAUAUUUUUGCACUAAACCCUUUCUGAAUGCGCUUGGGAAUUUAAAACUUAUGUUCAUCACUUCUCCUGCGCUUUUCAUCUCUUGGCUGAGAAUCGCGUCGCACCCUCGAAACUUCUCAAAGAGGGUGAACAAUCGCUUUUGAGACAAAAGGGACAGUACACAUAAUAAGCAAAUCAAAUUACAUACAAAAGUGAUGUUUUUAGAGAACAUCGAGAAAGAACCUGGAUAUGGUCAGGACCAAGCAACCUCUGAUUACACUUGAGAGCUUUGUGAAGAUGCCGCAAGAAAACAUGUACAGUUCCUCAAACUUCCUCCAUCAUGUCUACAUUUAUGUAUAUAGCAGCAGUGUUUGGAUAAGAUGCACCACACUGUAGAUGUAAGAAAUAGUACUCAUACAACAUACGGUUAACAUUUAUUUUUUGAGACGGUUAAAAUCAAAUUUAUUGGACUUAAUAUGGGAGAAAAAACUGUAGUAUUAGACAUCUAAACCAUUAAAUAUUGCAACACUUACUUGAGAGCCACUAUUUACUGAAGCUUAUAAGAGAAGGCAUCAAGAUGAUCAAGGGUGUAAUAUCCUCAAGUCAAAAGAACAGAUAACUUAAUUUUUAAAGAGGUUAUUAGGGAUAUAUAUCCCACACCGGAAAUUCUAAGGGACUUUAAGUAAUAUAUAAAGUAAUAUAUAAAGGGUUAUGGUCAAUCUACUAAUCACCAAUUGGUUUUAAGUUGAAAGCCCAUAAUAAACUCGAAUCUAACAUGGUAGUCAGAUCCUAAAUACUCUAACUCCUAAUUAAUAUUAACCCUUCCGACCGGGUAUAAAGGUCGUGAUUAACCCUUCCGACCGAGUAUAAAUGUCGUGUUAAACUCGCUCGACCGAGUAUAAAUUUCCUAAAAUUUAGAGAUUUCUGGCGGAUAAAAGCCAUCAUCUCGAGAAGUACUAAAUUUUUUAUAUAAAAUCGAGAUAAACCCAAAUCUAACAGAGGUACUAAAUUUUUAUAUCACUCAAAGUUGUUUAUAACAAAAUAAGUAAAAUAGAUUGAUAUGCUUUGCAUAUAAUAAGUAGUAGUGUGACCUUUUAGUCAGCGAAUUAUAAGUGAUUGUUUGUACGGGAUUCAGUCGAUUGGGCUGAAAGAAUUUGAAAAUGGGAUGACUAAAGACGUUUUAUUAGAUCUGGUAAAAGAGGUUACAAGAGUGACAAGAGAUCAAAGAAAACAGCCGGAGCUGGAAGAACUAGCCGGAAAAGAUACAAAUCGGUUCGGGGCAAAGGAAUGACUUAAACUCUAGAUCUAGCCGCCUCGUCUCUCUCCCCUCUCUUCUCCUCUUAUAGGCUUUCCUUCUUGUGUGCCAUCGAAUAUAUGGGCCUUGGUAGAUCCCCCUCGGACCGUGCGCUUUUGGUUGGCUUAGUCGACGGCUAGAGGCACUCUCGGACUGAGCCGACAGCUUUACUCGCUAAGCCAGAUAAGCUCGUGGCUUGUUGGGCUAGAGAUCGUUAUUCGAUGGGCCUUGUGGAGGGAUGAAAUCCAUCUCCUACAAUAAGUCCCCCCCCCCCAGUUCACUUGUGAGCGGCGUAGCGGUCUCAGUGAAUUUGUGGGUCAGGUUUGUUCGGAUAACGAGUUCCUAGCACGAAAGGUACCUUGUUUGGCGUUUUUAGUCGCAUACCGUUUUUACUCGGAAUCGACAGACAGUGUCUCUUUCUUUUGUCUCUCUGACCAUGCUUGGACGUGUUUAGUGGCUUCGAGGAAAGAUAGACUUUAGUCGCAUGCCGUUUUUACUCGGAAUCGACAGACAGUGUCUCUUUCUUUUGUCUCUUUGACCAUGCUUGGACGUGUUUAGUCGCUUCGAGGAAAGAUAGACUUUAGUCGUGUGCCAUUUUUGAAGUGGUUGGAUCGGUAUUCCCAGUUUAACCGGAGGCUGAUUUGGGUGAGGACCGGUUUAGAUCCAAAAAAUCAGAGAUUGAUUUGGUUCGGCUGGUUCAAUUUGGAAACCGGUUUAGGCGAGAAAUUGAACCGUCGCGAGUAGGUUUUGGGCGUGAAGGCGGCCUUUGAGGCCCAUUUAGGCCCUUUUAGACCUAAUGAUUGCUCUUGGGGGAUGUGCCUUCGUUUUUGCUAUAAAUAGGCUCAUUUGCUUCGCUUUCGUCAUUCUCCUCUACGCACUCAGGUAUCCACUUUCUCUCCCUUCUCUCUAGAUUUAAUUUCUCUCUCUAGAUUAGCUUUUGGUGAGUCAGCACCUUCAUCAUCGUCUUUAGUCGUCCUCAGAAUGACAAGCCCGUCUUCGAAGAGUCGACUAUCGCGCGAGGAAAAAGGGAAAGACAUUGUUAACACCCCGAGCCCAGGUGGAGAUUUCUCGGCGAAUGGUAGUCCAUUAGAUGAAUUCGAUCUGAUCCAUCGUGACGCCAUGUGGGAUACGGAGACAUGAGUUUAUCUCAGCGUCUUCUGGUCGCCAAGUCGCAUAGGCAAAUUCGCGAGGAAGCCGCCAAUCGUACCGACAUAGGCGCGAGCAGUGACCGAGAAGCCCAGAGUGGUGGUUUGAGAAGUUCGGAGUGUGAUGACUCUGGAGCCCUGAUGCCUCCACAACGAUCUUAUCCGAGGGUUCGCUUCGAUCAGAUAAACUGCAGACCUACGGUAUAUAAUCCUAGCGGGAUCUUUGAGGAACUUUCUCCACUUCCUCCGGAAUCCUUGCGUGAUCCACGGGCUGAAGGCCAGUCAUGGAAGAACGUAUUUGACUCAUGUUCCUCUCAUAAGUCGGUGAAGGACUUACUGAGGUUAUUCGAUGGGCCUUGUGGAGGGAUGAAAUCCAUCUCCUACAAUAAGUCCCCCCCCCCCAGUUCACUUGUGAGCGGCGUAGCGGUCUCAGUGAAUUUGUGGGUCAGGUUUGUUCGGAUAACGAGUUCCUAGCACGAAAGGUACCUUGUUUGGCGUUUUUAGUCGCAUACCGUUUUUACUCGGAAUCGACAGACAGUGUCUCUUUCUUUUGUCUCUCUGACCAUGCUUGGACGUGUUUAGUGGCUUCGAGGAAAGAUAGACUUUAGUCGCAUGCCGUUUUUACUCGGAAUCGACAGACAGUGUCUCUUUCUUUUGUCUCUUUGACCAUGCUUGGACGUGUUUAGUCGCUUCGAGGAAAGAUAGACUUUAGUCGUGUGCCAUUUUUGAAGUGGUUGGAUCGGUAUUCCCAGUUUAACCGGAGGCUGAUUUGGGUGAGGACCGGUUUAGAUCCAAAAAAUCAGAGAUUGAUUUGGUUCGGCUGGUUCAAUUUGGAAACCGGUUUAGGCGAGAAAUUGAACCGUCGCGAGUAGGUUUUGGGCGUGAAGGCGGCCUUUGAGGCCCAUUUAGGCCCUUUUAGACCUAAUGAUUGCUCUUGGGGGAUGUGCCUUCGUUUUUGCUAUAAAUAGGCUCAUUUGCUUCGCUUUCGUCAUUCUCCUCUACGCACUCAGGUAUCCACUUUCUCUCCCUUCUCUCUAGAUUUAAUUUCUCUCUCUAGAUUAGCUUUUGGUGAGUCAGCACCUUCAUCAUCGUCUUUAGUCGUCCUCAGAAUGACAAGCCCGUCUUCGAAGAGUCGACUAUCGCGCGAGGAAAAAGGGAAAGACAUUGUUAACACCCCGAGCCCAGGUGGAGAUUUCUCGGCGAAUGGUAGUCCAUUAGAUGAAUUCGAUCUGAUCCAUCGUGACGCCAUGUGGGAUACGGAGACAUGAGUUUAUCUCAGCGUCUUCUGGUCGCCAAGUCGCAUAGGCAAAUUCGCGAGGAAGCCGCCAAUCGUACCGACAUAGGCGCGAGCAGUGACCGAGAAGCCCAGAGUGGUGGUUUGAGAAGUUCGGAGUGUGAUGACUCUGGAGCCCUGAUGCCUCCACAACGAUCUUAUCCGAGGGUUCGCUUCGAUCAGAUAAACUGCAGACCUACGGUAUAUAAUCCUAGCGGGAUCUUUGAGGAACUUUCUCCACUUCCUCCGGAAUCCUUGCGUGAUCCACGGGCUGAAGGCCAGUCAUGGAAGAACGUAUUUGACUCAUGUUCCUCUCAUAAGUCGGUGAAGGACUUACUGAGGCGGUAUGGAGGCACCGGCAUCACGUACAUUAUUCCUUCCAACGGGCAGCGUCCUUGGUCGCCUCCGGUUGGCUACCAGUGUGUCUACAAAUCUUAUUUCGGGGACCAGACGAAACUAUGGUUCCCCAUUCCCCGGCUCGUUACGUCUUAUGCGUUUCGUCGGGACAUUGCGAUCUGCCAAUUGCUCAACGGGGUCACUGCGCACUGCGGUCAUGCUGAUGGUGAUGGCCGCGGAGAUAGACAUUUCGAUGAGUGUGAGAGUGUUCGAGGAGUUGACUUUCACAAAGGCAGAACCGAACGCGAUAUUCCCGGUGAAGAUGCGUUCGAACUACAACGUCUUGACCGGGCAUCCCAACAAGACGAAAGACUGGCAGCGUUCGUAUUUUUACGUCAAAUGCGACAAAUAUGCCUUCGCAGAGCCUCCUGGGGACGACUAUCGUGUUCUCUGGAAUAAAACGCUUGGUAGAAAAAGUUUAUUAAUGCCUCGUUGUACUCAGAGAUGCUGACCUUGGUUUUUAUUUCGUUAAUACCUUCCUUCACGUCUUGACCGUCUCUUUUGUUCUGCAGUUGAUUGGGAGUCGAGACUUUCGGUUGUGCUUGGCCCUCGUAAAUCUCGCCUUUCCUUAUUUACUCGGAAACAACAAAAGCUUUUGAACAAAGCCAGAGAGAUGGAGGGAGUUUCAGACUUGAGUGCGUUGCUGAAAGGGCAACUCCAAAUGUUGUUGACAAAGUCGUCUUCAGCUGGCGCCUCUGACGCUAGACCUGAUCUUGUCGAGGGAGACGUAAACUUGGAGUCAUUGGCCAGAGUCCAAAAAGGAAAGCGACCGGCAAAGCGAAGAAACGUGCCGUCGAAGGAGAGCAGUCUGGCUCCCUCGAGAAAAAUGCUCCUUUGGAGGAGGCCCCGUCUUCUGCUGAUGCUUCUAAGGUCUCAAGAAAAAAGAAGAAGAAGAAGAAGGACGGGAAGAAGAGACCUCGUGAGGAUCCUUCUAUUGGACAACAUGAGACCUCGGCGGUGAUUGGGGAGGACGUACGAUAUGGAGACCCCUGUUCAGAUUGGUUCUACUCGAGAGUCGCCUGAGGAACGUCCCAAGAAGAGAGUGAAGAAGAAAACGGUGGAAGAAGGGGUGGAAGAUCCUUCGAGGAGUGGAGGAAAAGCCUCCGGUUCCGGAGGUGAGCCUCGGAAUGAGUCUCCAUCGAGUGAGAGACUCGGUCCUUCGUUGGUGGUGAGGAAGGAUGCUCGGAGUGAAGGCUCUCUGCCGAAGAAGGGGAGAAUUGAAUUCCCAGAUCGUGUGGAGUUCUUGUAUGACGAGAAGACUCCUUUAGUGCUCAAUCCUCUCCAGUGCGUGGAGCUGACGCGCCAGAUCCGUGGUGGGACGAGGGAGUUGCCGCCAAUCGGGGAUCUAUAAUUCAAGGACGAGUACAUUGACGCUGCUUCUGCGAGCAAACGGGUAUCCUACUUUCCUCUCUCUCUCCCCUUUUUUUACGAAGUCAAAUAAUACUUCUUUGUGGACUAAGGGGGACCAUCCUUGUUUUUGGCAUUGUGCAGAGCGACGGGAGUAUGAACUAUCUCGUCGAAAAAUACGACAGCGCCUUGAAGCAGACGAUGAUCCAACUAGGUGCAUCGGAAAAACUUGCGCGGGCCAGGCUGAGCGUGAUCGAGAGAUUACGUGCCGAGAAUAAGAAGGCUAGCGACAAAGCGGCUGAGGAGAAACAAGUUCUUCGAGCUAAAUUCGAAGAGCUUGAAGGUAAGCUAAAAUCCGAUCGACUCGCGAAGAAUGAGAUGAUGCGCGAGAAGACUCAUCUGGAGCGAAACGUUGCUUCCCUUGAGAAGGAGAAGGCGGAACUCGAGGGAGAGAGGGACGCAGUCGUCGAGACGUUAGUCAAGGAGAGGCAGCGCAUGAGGGACUCUCGAAUCCGGGAAGUUACUUGCGAGAGGGUCAGGGUCCAAACUGCUAUGGCGGACAAGUCCACUCGCUGCUUUGGUCGAAUGAGAGACUAUUUGGCUCGUCUCGACGCCUUCGAGAAAGCCAAGAGCUUGUAUGGGCAGGCAUCAGGGACGAGAAAAUGCCUCGAGGUAAUAAGGGACAAUGGGACGGAGAUCCCGCAGGGCAUGAUAGAUAUCUUUGCAGAGCAGGAGAAGCUUCAUGAGGCCGAGGUCGCCUCGACCCGCUCUCCAGACUUCGCCUCGACCCGCUCUCCGAGAGCAACCUUACUUUGUCCCCACUUAACCUUCCUUCUAGAUUUGUUAGUGAGGAGUUUAUGGCAAUGCUCGAUCCGUACGGGUCAAAUGUCGGCUUGAUUGGGUCCGACUCGGCUUCCCAGCUUAUUACUUCACGCGAAGUCGGCGAGGAUCAGUCCGCGGAGCCGACGGUAGAUGUCACAUCGAACAGGUUGCGGCUAUGGAGAGGAGCCCCGAAAAAGAGAACCUCGAGGUGGACGAUGCCUUAGCUCAGAAAGGGGGAACCGAGAAAGUAGGCUCUGAGGGACCUCUUCUUGUUUCCAAUACUUCUUCUGAGAGGCGAGAAGACGAGGAGGAGGGAAGUGAUCAAGGUAGGAAGACGCCGUCACCGAGACCAAACGAGGAUAAAGUGACAAGCGAGAUCGAGAGGAGUACUUCGAGUUUCCUACCUUUAGAAGUGAAUCCUCUCGCUCCUUUUCCUACUCCAGUUGAGAGCCCGACUGUUCCCGCGGCUGAAGAUCCCCAAGAUCUCCCUGCUUCGAACGUCUUGACGGGGAGCGGAGAAGACGAUGGUUCCGUUGCUUGAGCCUUCGUUUAUGUUGUACUUUAUUUACUAAAUCUUUUUUGGAGUGUGUUUGUGGCCCUGGUGGGCCCUUUUGUUGUAUGUUUAGAUGCAUUAUCUCUUUGUCGGCGAGUUGCUAUGUUAAGCAGACCUUUUAAAGUUUAUGCGUGCCUCUUAUCAGUUUUUACAAAGCUUGAGUAAGUCUCAAUCUACCCGAAAAUCUCAUAGCGUGUUUGCUUAGAAAUGACAGGUUUUUGAUUCUUAACCUUUGCAAAACUGGUAGUGAAAUAAAUCACAGAAGGGCUUUUGUUGAUCCUCGUCGCAUUUCAGACGAGAUAAUGUCUAAGGAUGCUAUUCGAUUCCGAAGGACGAGAAUUUUGAAUUUAAGAGAGGAAAGGUUCUUUAUCCGUGUUUCUAGUGACGGUCGAGUAUUUGGGUAGCUAAUCCUUUACUCGUCGGUCGGAAAAAGGGUAUAGAUUUCUCUCUUUUUAGUCGGUCAAUGCGUUCGAGGCAUAGGUGACUUGCGACCAUUUUGCCCUUCAGCGAAGUGUCUGAUCAGGGCAUAGCUGAGUGGUGGGGUGUGAAUAUCCGCAUACUGCCUGUUGGUGGUAUGGGAGUUGAUCCUUCGUUGGUCGAUUUGGGAUCGAAACAAAGUUUUGAUUUUGGUGUUGUUACAUCUAGACCGGUUAAGGCUGCCUACGUACCUCGGUUGAGGAUCAAGCCAUUCGUAGUUUGUUUUUCCCGAGUAAAAGUGGCUGUUAAAAGCGCAUUUACUUGGUUGAGUAGAAGUGACCGCGGGGGUGCAUCUACUCGGUUUUUUUUUUUUUUUUCUUAACUAUGACGAUUCUAAGAGUAGAAACGACGUAGGUGCAUUGAGUUACAUGCUCGAGGCACUUCUUCUCCACGCGACGUUUGAAGUCGGUAGACGCCCGGUUUGACGACUUUGAUGAUCUUGUAAGGUCCUUCCCACCUAGCUCCGAGUUUGCCGGCGUUCAGUUCCUUAGUGUUUUCGAACACUUUGCGCAUGACGAGGUCGCCGAGUUCGAGAGGUCUGGCCCGAACCUUUUUGUUGUAAUAGCUCUCUAUCUGAUGCUGAUAGUUUUGGAUCCGUAGUAGAGCUUGGUCCCGUCAUUCUUCAAUCUCGUCGAGGGCAUCCAACAGCAUCUCCUUACUGAGUUUGACGUACUGGGGCUUUCUCGAACGUCGGAGGCUUGAAACGUUGACUUCUGCGGGGGCCAUAGCCUCGACUCCGUGUGCAAGAGAGAAGGGUGUCGAUUUAGUCGAUCCUCUUGGUGUCGUGCGGUGACUCCAUAGGACUCCAUCGAGUUCGUCGGCCCAAUGACCCUCUUUCAGGUCUAGACGUUUCUUAAUGCCGUCGAUGAUGAGCUUGUUGGAGGAUUCUGAUUGGCCAUUUCCUUGCGGGUAGCGAGGGGUGGAUGGGCUUAGUCGGAUGUUCCAUUUGCUGCAAAACUCCUUGACUUUGCCUGACAUGAACUGUGAUCCAUUAUCGGUAUAAAUUUCAUAAGGUAGACCGUGGCGGCAGAUAAUGUUCUUCCAGACGAAACCAUGGACUUCCUUGUCUGUGACUUGAGCGUAGGCUUCGGCCUCGAUCCAUUUGGUGAAGUAAUCAGUGAGGACAAGAACGAAACGUCGCUGGCAGGAACAGGGAAGAGGUCCUAUGAUGUCCAUUGCCCAUCGCAUGAAUGGAUAUGGUGCGGUCGUCGUUCGUAACAUUUCAGUCGGACAAUGGAUGUUUGGUGCAUGCCGUUGGCACUUUUCGCAGCUUCUAGCGUAGGAAUCACAAUCGGCGUUCAUCGUCGGCCAUAAGAAGCCUAGGCUUCUCACUUUGAUCGUCAAGGCUCGACCGCCAGAAUGGUUCCCUCCAGCUCCUUCAUGUGCCUCAGCCAUAACCCUUUCGGUCUCAUCGCCGUGGAUGCACUUGAGGAGUACUUUACUCGCGGUCCAUCGGUGUAGUUCAUCGUCCAGGACAACGUAAUGGGCACUGCGUGUUUUUAGUCGGCGAGCAGCCCACUUCUCAGUUAGAAGUUCUCCCUUUCUAAGGUAGUCGAUGAACUCAGUUCUCCAGUCAGGGCCGAACCCAUCAGAAUUUGGUGUGUUGGCCUUGGUGACUGGAGCUACGUUGACAGUUUGGUCGGUCGAGAUAUCGAUACUUGGUUUCUCAAUGCGAUGUAUUGGGAUGGUUCGUUUAACCUGAUCUCGAAGCUUGCUGCCAAGGGCUGCGAGAGCAUCGGCACAGACGUUUUCCCCUCUGGGAACUUUGGUGAGUUCGAAGAACUCGAACUCUGCUGCUAAACCUUGUACCAGCUUAAGGUAGGCGUCCAUCCGGUCGUUGCGGGCGUCGUAGUCGCCGAUAAACUGACUGGCAACUAACUAUGAGUCGCAGUAGGCGCUUAGGCGUUUAGCCUUGACAGCUUUUGCUAAGCGGAGUCCGGCGAUCAAAGAUUCAUAUUCUGCUUCAUUAUUCGAAGCCGGAAAACCGAAGCUAAAAGACUGUCUAAUAAGUUCUCUUGUCGGAGACUGCAAUUGGACUCCGGCCCCUGCGCCUUUGUUGGUCGAAGAUCCGUCGACAUGAAGUAUCCAGUUUGGGUUUGGGAGCGCGAGGUCUUGCUCCAGUUCCAGGUCUAGUUCGACUAAAAAAUCCGCAAGAACCUGGGACUUUGCUGUCGUUCGGUUUUUGUACGUGAUAUCGAGUUCGCCGAGUUCGAUAGCCCACUUCGUUAGUCUUCCGGACCUGUUGGUAUUCUGAAGUAUUGUUCGGAGGGGCUGGUCGGUUAAUACUUCAACCGAAUGUGACUGGAAGUACGGGCGAAGCUUUCUUGCUGCUUCGACGACGGCCAGCGCCAUCUUCUCCAGAGUCGGGUAUCGCGUUUCCGGUCCCGUCAUGCGCCUGCUUGUGUAGAAGAUUGACUUUUGUUCGCCGCGAUCUUCUUUUAUCAGAACACUGCUGACUGCUGCUUGUGACACUGCGACGUAAAGAGAUAGAACGUCGCCAACAUCUGGCUUGGCGAGUACAGGCGGCGUAGUCAGAUAUUGUUUGAGCUAGGCGAAUGCCUCCUCGCAUUUUUCAUUCCAGAUAAACUUCUUGUUACCUCGUAGGAGAUCGUAGAAUGGCAGACACUUGUCGGUGGAUCUAGAGAUGAAUCGAUUGAGUGCAGCAAUCCUACCCGUGAGCCGUUGGACCUCUCUACUAUUUUUUGGACUUGGGAGGUUUAGGACCGCAGAGAUCUGUUUCGGGUUGGCUUCGAUUCCUCGUUGUGUUACUAUGUAACCAAGGAAUUCUCCUGAAGAAACUCCGAAUGUGCACUUUGCCGGGUUUAGUUUCAUUCCGUAUUUGUUGAGAGUUUCGAAGCAAUCUUGUAGAUGGCUGAGGUGGUCGGCAGCGUGUAGCAACUUAACAAGCAUGUCGUCGAUGUAUACUUCCAUGGUGACGCCCAGCUUUUCUGCGAACAUUUUGUUCACAAGCCGUUGGUAAGUUGCUCAUGCGUUCUUCAGGCCGAAUGGCAUAACCUUAUAGCAGUAGGUUCCCCUAUCUGUGAUAAAGGCCGUCUUCUCGCGGUCAUCAGGGUGCAUCAUGAUCUGGUUGUAUCCAGAGAAGGCGUCCAUAAACGUGAGCAUCUCGUUUCCGGCUGUAGAUUCGACUAAACGGUCGAUAUUGGGGAGAGGAUAGCUGUCCUUCGGGCAAGCUUUAUUUAAGUCAGUGAAGUCGAUGCAAACGCGCCACUUCAUGUUCUUCUUUUUGACUACUACUGGGUUUGCUAACCACUCAGGGUAGCGUACCUCAGCGAUUGAUCCAGCACCGAGUAACCGGUCAACCUCUUCGUUCACGGCUUUUGACCUAUCAGGCCCAAGCUUUCGUCUCUUUUGUCGGAUGGGUUUGAAGGUCGGGUCGACGUUUAGCUCGUGAGUCAUUAUGGCUGGAUCGAUUCCUUUCAUAUCCGCCAUGGACCACGCGAACGUAGACACAUUCUUCUUGAGGAAGCUGAGGGCUGAUUGCUGCAUAUCCUCAGAUAGAUAUGCGCCUAUUCGUGCGGUCCGGUUAGGGUCAGUGUCGUCAAUAGGUAUUUCGAGAACUUCGUCUUUUUGGGAACAGACCUUUGAGGUCGAAGGAGAGACAGAGUUAACGGGUAGAGAGGAGCGUUGGAGCUUGACGGUGGCGACCAGUAAUUCCCUACCGGCCUUAUGAUCCCCGCGCAACAUUUUGAUCUUGCCGUCUGUACCGGGAAACUUGAUACACUGGUGAUAAGUAGAUGGAAUUUCUUGCAUUGAGUGUAUCCAAGGGGUUCCAAGUAUGGCAUGGUAAGGUGCCUUUGUGCUUACGACAGCGAACUUGACUGUCCGAGUAACUCCACAUGCGCGUACCGAAAGGCGGAUUGUUCCUAGUAUUGGUUCAGAAGAUCCAUUGAAGCCGGUUAACGUUCUGGAGGACGAUUUAAUGUCGUCGAGGUCCACUCCCAUCUUUUGCAGGGUUCCUCGGAAGAUGAGGUCGACGGAGCUCCCUGUAUCAAUAAGGACCUUGGUGACGUCGUACUCCCCAAUUCCAAAGACGACAAGGAGGGGAUCGUUGUGGGAAAUGUGAAUCCCUUCGGCGUCAUCAGGCGAGAAAGUUAUCGGUGGGUGACUUGGCGGCCUAAUCGGCCACCUCUGCAAAGUCGCAACUUGCCGGCGGUAAUCCAUGACGGAGCGAACAGAAUUUCUGCAGGGACGAGAGCCGCCCAUAAUGACAUUUAGUUGCUGUCUCGUUUUUACUCGCUUGGAGUCUAAGAAGGCGCGUAGGUCGGCUGAUACAUUGUUGUCGUUUUUCGACAGCGUAGUGUUGCUUGACGUCUUGGCUUGUUCCAACCGUCUUCUGAGGUCUGGGUUUCGAGCGAUUGAGAAGAAUGCGAAGAUCGCAUGCGCCAGCGUUGAGUUUAUCUCAAAGGUCACCGUUGGAGCACUCCUGAUGCUCUUUGGGGUCAAGGUCAUCCGUUGAGAUUCGGCGAGACUUCUUUGCAUCCAGCGUUAGCCGGAGAUCACUAUGCUUGGAACUGUUGUCGUCUUCGGACUCGAGCUUUCGUUUCAGAACAUCUCUCAGAUCUCCGAGUUUAGGUGUAUCGUCAUUAUCGUUGUCUGAUGAUAAGAUUUGCUGAGAGAGUAUAACCUCAAUGCGCCUGCGGUUAGCUGGAUGUUAUUCGUCGGCCGAGGAGUCUUCCUCGCCGUCAUAUUUCGAAGUUUUAUCUUCAUCUUUUUGCGUUUCGUUUUGGCGGCCUUUGUCGGUAGCUUUGCGCUGGGCUCUUCUUUCUUUAUUCUUGCCCCAGCUUUUACCAUUUUUGGGCUUAGCUUUUAGAGGUUCGAAUUGGAAGUCGCCGCUUGCGAGAGACGAGAGGUAGUGUGCGUAGAGCGACUUGCAUUCUGUUGUAUCAUGCCCUUUGACGUCGUGAUAUUUGCAAUGUUUGGUGAGAUCGACAGUUCUGGAAGAGCCUGCCGUUGGACCUGCUGCUGUUGCAGGUUGUGUCGUGCAAACAGUAUCGACUGGCUUGUCAGACGAGUCGAGCUCUCUGACCCAUUUGUUCCAACCUUCCCCGCGGACUACCAGAGUUGAGACCGGCACGUUAUUCUCGUUGACGACAUACAUAUAUCCAUCUUUGCGGCCGUUUUUUUCCCUAGGAGUGUGCUGGCGCGGUUCUUGUCGCGUGUUGGCGUUUUUCGCCGCUGGAGGAUUGCAUUAGUAUCUUCUUCCAUUCGAAUAAAGUUAUCCGAACGCGCGAUUGCGUCUUGGAGCGACGUAGUUGGAUUUUGGUAUAUGUCUUCUCGAAACUUUGAGCGAACCCACAAAGUGUUCCGUAGUGCGUCAAUGGCGAUGCCGACCGGGAUUUCAAUCCUCGAGACUACUGCCUUGAACUUCUCCAUGUUGAUGCAAGACUUUUCAAGGGUCUAAGAUCAAAUCAAUGUAGUAUAAAAGAUUGUCGAACCAAUCCUAAGUGAUUCUAAAGCAAAGGGAAUGCAAGUUCAUGCUUAAGCUAAGUGCGAUUCGGUUUUAAGAUGGUAUGAACUAAGAACUAAUAAGCUAAUGCAAUAAAGUAAUGAUCUUUCUUUCUCAAUUUGAAUCAAGAGGACUCAUGGGGCUAGGCAUUUGAUCUUGGGUGAUGUAGAUCCAAUCUAAGGGUGGCAAGGUAUCAAUCAAACACUUUCCUUAUGCCUAGACACUAAGCUAAACAAGCUCUAUCUCUAGAUGAAUGUUCUUUUGGUAAAGCAACUGAAGCAUCUAAUCUCUUAGGUUGAAUGUUACUAAAACAAACAUGGAGAACAAGUCUAAUAGCAAUCUUAACUCCUUUAGCAACUAAUCUCUUAGGUAAAGCAAGCUAAAAGCAUUGAAGAGUUGGUUCAGGUAUUUCAUCAUACACCUUGUGGGCAUGAAAUGCUUAGAGAUCUAUUUUAGUAUGAAGAUGACUAAAAUAGCAUUGAGAACCCUCAACAAGCAAGGAAACAAGUAAAUCUAACACUAAACACCCUAGAUCUUCUCUAAUCACCCUUAAUUACCCUAGCCCAUGAAUCCAAGAUUAGUUUACUCACUAAUAGAUAUGAAUAACCCCAAAACCAUGGAUGAUUCAAGGUUAAACAUGAUUAGAGAGCAAGAUAAUCAAGCAAAGAUAAAGAUAAGAACUUAUGAUCAAGAUAUGAUUUUUCAACUCAAAGUUAUUUUGUGAUUAGAUAGAAAAUAAGAUAUCCCCCACUUUGGGAUUACAUUAGUAUUUAUAUGUCUUUGGUAAAUUUAAUGGUUUUCAUUAAAAAGUUUAAAAAGCCUUUUAAAAAUAUUAAAAUUCGACUAAGGCAAAGACGCGACUCGGGUAGAAAUCACGGGCGACAACCCGAGUUGGUUUCCCCGCGUUGGACCGUCGAGCAGCUCUGUUUCAUGCGCGCGGGUAAUGGAACCCGCGGCCUUCACCCCGAGUCGAGACGUCGCGACUUCAGACAAUUCGUGCGCGCGGGUUCGGCUCCCCGCGUCUCUCGACCCCGAGUUGAGACGUCGACGCUCCCUCUUCUUCGUGCGUGCGGUUUCACGACCCCGCGAGCCUCCAACCCGCGUCGUCGAGCUUCAUUUCCUCCGUCGUGGUCAGCCACGAGUUCUCCCUCUCCACCGCAAUACACGCCAUCGUCGUCAUCAACAAGUCGCAGCUGUGGUAAGAAUCGCCGCUGUGGCCUGAGAUCGAGCCAUGACAGCUUGUCCUGAAGCGCCGGAGUGCUUCUCGCCGUCACAGUCGAGCUUCACCGUUGAGACUCCUCAUCGAAACUUCUCAUGUACAGGUCGUCGCCUCCUCGCCGUGAUCGGAUCUCCAGGCCGUGGUAUCCGCCACCACCGUCGCGCUCGUCGUUCUUCAGUCGCAGGAGAAAGCUCGAGGAGCAGCAAUGGUGGAAUUUGGGGUUUUUGCACUUAUGGUCCUUAAUAUUUCGAAUAAUUACGAUUUGACCCCAAAACUAUCAAAAUUGUAGAAACGUCCUUCUGAUUCUGCCUCUAAAUUUCCAAUUGUGCAUACCAGACCCUCAGUAUUUGCAGAAUGGUCCCCCGCCUCUUUAUAGUUCUCAGUUCGGCCCAUAACUUUGUAAAUUGCAUGAUUAACCUCACGAUUUCAGCCCAAACUUCUCAAGUGUGCACAUUAGCCCAUAUUUAUGCAAUUAUGCAUGUACAUGCAAUACUGAGACUUAAAUGCAACCUAGAAUGAUUAAAAUGAGCUAAAUAAAAUGCUAAAUAUUAUUUAAAUUAUGAGUUAUCACAUGUAGUCGCGGAGGCUCUGGUCUUUGGUUUGGUUGAGGUUCCACAGGCUGGAGGUAGUGGCGCUGCGCUUUGUGAACAUAAUAUACGUCUUGAGGAAAGCUGUUGAUAAGUCACGGAAGUUUCCGAUCGAGUUCUUCUCUAACUGGGAGAACCAGGUUAGGGCUUGCUCGUGGAGAGUCUCGACGAACAGUUGGCAGUAGCAUGCAUCCCUUUCUUCGUCGGAGAGUCGAGCCCGUGCCAUCGCGAUAUUAAAAGCUGCCAUGUGUUCUACCGGGUCUCCUCCGGGUUUGUACUCGGGUAGGCGCAGCUUCUCUAUCUUCCCGAGUUGCACACUGGUAAAUGCGCUCGUAAAGGGGGUGCGCGAUGUUGCUGCGAGUACGCUCUCGAUUUGUGGAGCCGCGCUAGUAGCCUGAUGAAUCUUCUCGCUCAUUUGCUGGAAGCUGAGUUUGAGCCUCCCUCUUCUUCGUGCGUGCGGUUUCACGACCCCGCGAGCCUCCAACCCGCGUCGUCGAGCUUCAUUUCCUCCGUCGUGGUCAGCCACGAGUUCUCCCUCUCCACCGCAAUACACGCCAUCGUCGUCAUCAACAAGUCGCAGCUGUGGUAAGAAUCGCCGCUGUGGCCUGAGAUCGAGCCAUGACAGCUUGUCCUGAAGCGCCGGAGUGCUUCUCGCCGUCACAGUCGAGCUUCACCGUUGAGACUCCUCAUCGAAACUUCUCAUGUACAGGUCGUCGCCUCCUCGCCGUGAUCGGAUCUCCAGGCCGUGGUAUCCGCCACCACCGUCGCGCUCGUCGUUCUUCAGUCGCAGGAGAAAGCUCGAGGAGCAGCAAUGGUGGAAUUUGGGGUUUUUGCACUUAUGGUCCUUAAUAUUUCGAAUAAUUACGAUUUGACCCCAAAACUAUCAAAAUUGUAGAAACGUCCUUCUGAUUCUGCCUCUAAGUUUCCAAUUGUGCAUACCAGACCCUCAGUAUUUGCAGAAUGGUCCCCCGCCUCUUUAUAGUUCUCAGUUCGGCCCAUAACUUUGUAAAUUGCAUGAUUAACCUCACGAUUUCAGCCCAAACUUCUCAAGUGUGCACAUUAGCCCAUAUUUAUGCAAUUAUGCAUGUACAUGCAAUACUGAGACUUAAAUGCAACCUAGAAUGAUUAAAAUGAGCUAAAUAAAAUGCUAAAUAUUAUUUAAAUUAUGAGUUAUCACAUGUAGUCGCGGAGGCUCUGGUCUUUGGUUUGGUUGAGGUUCCACAGGCUGGAGGUAGUGGCGCUGCGCUUUGUGAACAUAAUAUACGUCUUGAGGAAAGCUGUUGAUAAGUCACGGAAGUUUCCGAUCGAGUUCUUCUCUAACUGGGAGAACCAGGUUAGGGCUUGCUCGUGGAGAGUCUCGACGAACAGUUGGCAGUAGCAUGCAUCCCUUUCUUCGUCGGAGAGUCGAGCCCGUGCCAUCGCGAUAUUAAAAGCUGCCAUGUGUUCUACCGGGUCUCCUCCGGGUUUGUACUCGGGUAGGCGCAGCUUCUCUAUCUUCCCGAGUUGCACACUGGUAAAUGCGCUCGUAAAGGGGGUGCGCGAUGUUGCUGCGAGUACGCUCUCGAUUUGUGGAGCCGCGCUAGUAGCCUGAUGAAUCUUCUCGCUCAUUUGCUGGAAGCUGAGUUUGAGCUCGUCGAUCUCGCAUAUGGUUACGAGAUCUGAGCCUGCCGGGGAAGCAUCGGCGAGAAGAGUUUCAUUAGGUUCCGAGUCGUCUGAAAUGUGGUUGCCUCCCCUCGCCGUAGGGUUAGUGUUGAAAAGGCGACGGCGUAAGAAAUAUGCGGAGAUGGGUGGCGCGGCUUCAGGCGUAGGGGUUGGCUCUCCGCCUGGAGCGCCGAAGACGGCGUCGUCUUGAGCCAUGUAGAUCUAGAACGUUACUUUAGUCGGCCCCACGGUGGGCGCCAAUUGUUUGUACGGGAUUCAGUCGAUUGGGCUGAAAGAAUUCGAAAAAUGGGAUGACUAAAGACGUUUUAUUAGAUCUGGUAAAAGGGGUUACAAGAGUGACAAGAGAUCAAAGAAAACAGCCGGAGCUGGAAGAACGAGCCGGAAAAGAUACAAAUCGGUUCGGGGUAAAGGAAUGACUUAAACUCUAGAUCUAGCCGCCUCGUCUCUCUCCCCUCUUUUUGUUGCCCUCUCUUCUCUUCUUAUAGGCUUUCCUUCUUGCGUGCCCUAGCUCCCGUCUCCUUCUGGGCCCUUUUGGUGAGAAGGCCGAAUAUAUGGGCCUUGGUAGAUCCCCCUCGGACUGUGCGCUUUUGGUCGGCUUAGUCGACGGCUAGAGGCACUCUCGGACUGAGCCGACAGCUUUACUCGCUAAGCCAGAUAAGCUUGUGGCUUGUUGGGCUACAGAUCGUUAUUCGAUGGGCCUUGUGGAGGGAUGAAAUUCAUCUCCUACAGUGAUGAGUGGCAAAGAAAGGAGAAGUAACUUGUGUAUCAUCAGGUCCUUUCUCAGGUUUCAUCGCAAGACCUUUUCUUGCUUCAUUCUCAAUGUAGCAGCUUUAUAUUCUGCUCUCUCCCGGGUCUCUUCUUUAUUUUUGUGAUUCCUCUCUGCCUAAAUAGCUUUCUUCUCUGAAAACUCUUCCUCUUCUUUUGUCCGGUAUGUGGAAGCUUGGUUGUAAAAAAAGGAAACCAUGAUUCAAUGGAAAUUUUACUUGAAAAGUUAUCUGCAAUAAGAUGAUGCGUCAAAAUCGACAUAAAAAUUUUGAUCCAAAGAAUUGUCUUUAUCUCCAGGCCCCGUUUUGGCAACACGACAUCAAAAUCCUACAGCUUUCCACUCCGAUUCACAGCGAAGGCCAAUUGGUAGAGAAUAUGGCUAUGUGUUUAUGAUUGGAUAAUUUUGUUUGUUUGGCAAAAGAUUCAGAUGUGAGAAAAGGAUCGUGAAGAAAACAGUGAAACUGCGAUGAAUAAAUUUUGGAGAGGUUUAGAAGCCUAAAAUAAGAGAAGAGGAAACGAUAAUCCUAACGUGCGUUUGACAAUUAAUCGUGAGACAAAUGAUGUGAUGAUAUGGCAUAAAACUUGUGUACCAUAGGUUAAUUUAAUUUGCUGAGGUGGAUAGUCCCUAUUGGGAAUUUUUUUUUAAGUUGGUAUAUUAACUUUACAAAUUUUGUUUCCAUUACAAAUUCACAACAUUUACAAAAGUAACUUGCCAGAUUCUGAGACUCCCAGUUGUGUGUCGCAUCAUCAUCCCCCUCAGCCUACGACAGCCAGCAAACUUUGCCUGACCGCAGGGACAGAACACAAUAAGGAUCCGAAGAUUCCGGUGAGCGCAUAAGCAAUCGCACAGAAGGGAAGAGCCUCUGGCUCCUUAGCCGACAAAGCUGCUGUUCCAAGUCCAUGAGCACUGUCCAUAGAAACAAGAAAGUUAAUGUUUUUUUAUCUUAACAGCACUAAUGGUUAUCAAAGAACGCAGAUUCUGCCUAAUUCUGAUUCAAAAUGUGAAAGAGGAGUCACCUUGAAGCAGUUGCUAUCCCCCGAGCAAUUGGGUCGCGCAAACGCAGUUUGUCAAGAACAACUUGUACAAAGUUAGCUCCAAUCAGACCAGUCACAACGACUACAGCUGCUGUAAGAGACGAAUUGGUUCCUGAAAAUUUCCAAGAAAGUCGUUAGGAAAUGUUCUUUAAUGUACUCUGCGCAGGAGAAGAAUAAGAUGGAAUAGUAUUUUUAUACCUUCAAAGAGUGAUACAAUGCUAAGGGCCAAUGCAACCGUGAUGCAGCGAGGUAGGAUUGAAACCGUUAAAGAUGGUUCUAAACCGACUAAACGUCCAACAAGAGCAGUGGAAUAGAGCGAGAAUAGUGUUGAAACUAUCACAGAUGUGAAGAUCUCAGCUGCGUGCCUCUUCACGAGCUGAAGAUGACAAGAGGCAAAGCAAACAGAUCGUUACCAGCUUCCUAAAGCAAAACAUAACAUGUUUUUUUUGCUUCUGUUUUUUACCUUUCUUUGUUUAAACAUGGAGAAAGCGAAAGAGAGAAUGACAGAGCCAAGAAAACCCAUUAAUAUGUCACCAGCACCAGGAUCUGAUGCUACUUUGGUUAGGUAGUUUCCUGCAUCCAUUUAAAGAAUAGUUUUACAUUCUGGUUUAGGUCAUUUAAAGGGUUUCUCUAUUGUUUGUGUGACUUUACCUAAAACAGGAUCAAGUCCAGACCCUGAAGCAUAUCCAAAAGCUAGAGCAGCGAGUACCGAAGAUAGCGCGCAGCAGAUUAUCGGAUGGAAAACUUUCUUGAUAGAAGAUGGCAACCUGGAAAAAAAAAAAGAAAGACAAGACGAUGAGAAUAUAAAAUCAAGAGAGAGAGAGACUUUUUUUUUUUUUGACUGAAGAGAGAGAGAGACUUGAGAAUGGGAUUUGAAUAUUACCCUGAUCCCACAAUGUAACCUAGAACAGUUGAAGAAAGAAGGAAAGGGAGACAAGUUCUUGCACUUGUCCCAAGUGAUGUAGGGUAAAACAGAGCACCAACAAACGACACAACAAAGAUUCCACUCCAACUCCAUAGCUCAAGUGUUGAAAAUGGUGAAGGUUUUGACAUAGGCUCAGCUUCAGUCAUCUCGGUUUUCACCAUUUUUCUCACUGCUAUAGCUGUGAAACCUGCUACACAAAGAGACGCCAACCAUCCACCAGCUGUACAAGCAUUUGAUCACACAUUAGAUACACUUUAGGCCCCCACAUAUACAGCUAGGCGCUAAAAGGUUCGUCGCCUAACAAGCGCCUAGCGCAUUUUAUAACUCUUAACUAAACAAAACAGAAUGAACAGAAGAAGAACAAAAGAGUGAUUGUAUACCUACAAUGUAGCAGAUUUUGACGCCUGAAGCCGCCGGAAUAUCUCUGAAGGAGAGAGGGAGAACCACAAGAGAAGGGACGUAGAACAAAGGAAGCCAUCUCUGGAUGAACAGAAACGCAGGCUCGAAGAAGUUCAUCAUACCGGUCGCAGCAGCGGGAACAACGGAAUCUAAUAUCAUAAGAACGGAGAAAAUACAGAACAUCCCGAACAGAGCGCUAGGGAACUUGAUGGACGCUGCUACAAAAGCCUGUUUCAAGAACUGGUCUGCCGCAAGUAUGAUCCCAAGCGACACCAACAAGUGCGUUGUCGCAAACACCUUACGAGAGAUCGUUGCUGACGUGUUUUCUGUUCCUGCACCAUCCAUGGCUUGAGUUGAGAGUUUUCUACCGAAGCUCAUCUCUCGAGAACCCAUUUGCAGAAACCUCGUUCUCUGUCCAUCGGUUUUACGUAAUCUUGUUUGAUUUAACUUCUGGGUUGCACUAGAAUCGGAAGUCUUCCCAUUUUUCGAUUGGAAUAGGGUCUUGGGACAUGAAUGGCGGUUUCUUGAUGAAGAAAGAGCUAACGGAGAGAAGAGAGGGGUGACUAAAGGAGUAGCCAUGGAGGUGGAAACGACGUGGCUGUGAUUCUGCGGGACAACACAUCAUAGUCUUAUUCAUCUUCGUUUAAUUAAGGGAAAUGGAUUACGAGACUUUGUAUGGACAAGAGAGAAGGUUCUAUCAAUAAAGAGAUGACCGACUUUUGUCUCUUCGCCCACUUGUGCUGAGCCCNNNNNNNNNNNNNNNNNNNNNNNNNNNNNNNNNNNNNNNNNNNNNNNNNNNNNNNNNNNNNNNNNNNNNNNNNGUGUCUGUUCGUAAUCUAUUUUUUCACCGGUGAACUCUUCAUGUCCACAUCUUAAAUCGCUUGAUCAUAAAUGUUCCUGAUUUGUAGCCCCUAUAUAAACCCUAUAUAUAUGAUUCUCAUCUUUGAUGAACCCAAUCUGCAUCUCCACAAAACUCAUUGAUUCCUCUUAGAUUUAACCAACUUCUAGAAAAUGUUUCUCUCUGCCUCUCCAAUUUAUUAAACCGGCGUCUCGGCGUCCGUCACUCAACCUUCGAAUAUCUCCGUCUUGGUCGUAGUAGUCAGAGCAUAGCCUCUGGCUUCCUCGCUUCUGGGACUCCCUGAACUUCAAGAAAGACAGGGAGUUUGUGGGAAUCACGGUUCUCUUCCUUGAUGAAAAGGUAAGUUAAUCUUUGAUCUAUAACACUUAUUUAACAUAUUUGUUUUAAUUUAUUUCAUGAUUCUUUGUUGGAUAAUAUUAUUUGCAGAUUCCGUGAUUCAUGGGUUUACUCCCGUCGGACGUGCUAAUCAUUACAUGCCAUCUUUGAAAGCUGGUUCCAUUGUGAAAGUCGAUCGUGUUGAGGUUUGUAGGUGCUCAAGCAUGUACAAGAUAACUGAUCAUUCAUUCCUCAUUCGUUUCAUCUCACUAACCAUUAUUGAUGAAGUCAUCACGGGUGCUCCUGAGAUAAAUCUUCAGUCAAGAUUAGACUGUUCGACAAUCUCAAAGUGAUUGCGAACACAAACCUAGAACUUCCAGGUAUAUUAUCAUAUUGCAUCUGGGUUUAUAUUAUGUUUUGAUAUCUUAACUGAUAUUUAAACUCACAGAUGUGGUUGGGAAAAUUCAUUCUGUCCAGGGCACUGGCCUCACAGCCACACUAGGAGAUACAAGAGACAAUCCCAACAGACACAAAAGCGGCAACAACAUCUCCACCUGCUCACUCCUCUUGUCUUAUAAAAAUAGCUUAUAUGCUCAAUGUCAACAUGCCAACGCUAUUGUCUUCUUAUGAGAAAUACAUAUAUUCGUUUAAAACCCAUUAAGACCCAAAUACUAAUUGUCACUCAUUUUUCAAGUCUUCAUAUAUUUGUUUUAAAGGUCCGGUAAAAACAACAAGUUUAAAAGUAAAAAAACAUAUAACCAACAUAAUAAGAAUAAAACAAAUUAUUACUUAAUACACACAACUUACACAACUAAACUGGUGAAAAAAUAUCCAGAAACAAAUGGUACUCUCAACAACCUUAAUAUAAUUUAUGUAAUCUCAACUGUACAAGUAACAAAUUAAAAAGACAAACAAACAAUAAGUCUCAGUGACACAGCAAUCAACAACACGAACUAUAUCAAUCACAUUACUAACACAGUUUAGUUCUUCAUGAGUGGAGAACAGUGCAUACACAGUACAUCAUCACAACUCUAACCCUAUAACAAUAAAAAACUUAAAAAACAAUGAUCAACCCAAAACGCAAAAUUCACAGCUACAAUAACCCUAACAAAUA
rnacentral:lncRNA from 1 species